rnacentral:lncRNA from 1 species
GGAAAGACUGCAUAUUCUUCUUCCAGCCAGCAAGAACAUAUGACACCUUUGGUUUCUAGAGCAAGGAAGGAAGGAUAUCUUUGAAUGGAGUAGACCAAGACUGCAUAUUCUUCUUCCAGCCAGCAAGAACAUAUGACACCUUUGGUUUCUAGAGCAAGGAAGGAAGGAUAUUUCUGAAUGGAGUAGACCAAGCCACUUCAAUGUUAACCCUGGAGUACAAGCUUGGACCAAAUAAGUAGAGACCAAGCCACUUUAAUCUUGACCCUGCAGCUAGCACCAAUGUCACAUUCUUUCUCUGUUACGCCGCCGUCUUUUUUGGGUUCGAACACGACAUCACCUGUUGCAACGAGUACUUUCAAGCUACCACCACAUGCAGAGUAGGCAUGUACUAAAACUUGGAAGUUUUGGUUCACAUCUACAGAAACAACACGCCUUGACAGAUGAAUGUUUCCAUCUUGAUCCACCGGCGGAUUAUCUCCAUCUGGAAAAUCAAGCAACACAAAUUCUUCAAGGGAAGAGGCACCUUGGAUAAAAACUUUCCCUGCAAAUUGACUAGGCCAUGACCCAUGAAUAAUUUGCACACUUAGGAUAGUGGCCUCGACCGUUUCCGCAAACUGCUUACAAUGAAAUCUUAUAGUGCAAAGGUUGUUGUCCAAGAUUGUACCAAAAGGACCAGGGCUCCGUCGGCAUCGGAGGACUUGGUUGAUCAAUUCUUUUCCAUCUCCAGACUCUCUCUUGAACUUAAGAUCAACUUCAAAGUCAACAGGUUCAAGGGACAAAAUUGCACGAGAGGGGCCAGUCAAUGUCAAGUAGGGCUCCUGCAAUUGGCAAUCAUGGGAUAAGUAACAAUUUAUAUGGCAAAGCCAAUAAACCCACCACAAGCAGGGAAGAGGAAUGUAUACAUCUGCAGUAAUGAUUUGGUAGUUAUCGCUUGUGCUAUUGAAGAGAAAGUUGCGAUUAUAAUCCACAUGGUCUCGGGCAGCAACCAUGCCAUAGACACGAAGUGGCCACCCGAGUUUUGGCUUCUUGACUUGGAUGGAGUAGACUUGCAAGGUGCAGGAGACCAAAGCAUGUGGGAUGGUUUUGUAUGUGGUCAGCAUGUUCUUGGUCGUCGCUACAUACACAAAGCGUGUGUUACAACAUAAUGUCUCUCAACAAGAAACAUAAUAAUACACAGAAACCGAAAAUUUUCUCCGAUUCCGAUUUCGAUGACUGCGAAGAGGAAGAGAAUUAUGCUGGCUGUAGGUAAUUAUGCGAAUUAUAACUCAGAUAAGUGCGUACAUUGUUUACGUACUCUCAUAUUCGAAGUUACCGAACUUGCCAUAGGACAUGCACUCCCAGCCUAUAUGGUACUCUUGCAUAAUCUCCUCAUCCAUCAUGUAAUCGGGCAGGGACACCUCCUCAUCCAGAUCCAUUGAGUUGUCAUCCUCAUUCUCCGAGAUGUGCUCCGGCGUCGAUGAAUCGUCGUCGAUCCUAGAAGAGGAUGUGGCCUCCUUACGGCGACGCUUCGCGGAUUCUCCACCGCUCCCCCCUUCCGCUUCUCUUAUCACCUCCAUCUCCAAAAGCAGAGUUCUCCCUCUUCUUCUUUCUUCGACGCCGCCCCCGCCGCCGCAGUUGCAAGAUCUAGGGUUUUUUCUUGCAGAAAUGUCUUAGGGAUCCCAGUCACAGCCGUGCGGAAGGCUCCUAAUUUUUUUAGACAAAGCUCCUUAUAUUAUAUGGGUGACGAUGCUCCCACCCAUCCGGCCCAAUAAGACAUACGUUCGUCCAGGAUCCCAAAUACUAACGGUGUGCUCAGGGCCUGUCUAGGCCACCCAGUAAGAUGCUCAUUCGUGCAGGGAAAAACUGUCGUUGUUCGCUCUGCCAAAAAAGAUAAAUGCAUUUCCCUAAAAAAUGAUAAAUGCAUAGGAAAUGCGGCUGCCUUGAAAGAUUAGAAAAAAACUACUCAUGUAAAUUUAAAACAUGUUCAUGGAAUUUUAAAUAUUCCUGAAAAUUUAAAACAUGUUCAAAAAAAUUUAUAAUAUUCACGAAUUUAAUAUAUGUUCAUGUUCCUUAAAGAUGUUCAAGGAUUAAAAAAUAAUAUAAAUUCUUAAUUUUAACAUGUCCACGGAAAAUGUUCCCAAAUUUUAACGAAAAUUAUAGUAUUCAUGUAUUGCAGAAAUGUUUACAUAUUUGAAAAAUGUUUACCAAUUUAUCAAAUAUCCAUGAAUUUAAAAAAUGUUCAUAUGUUUUACUAAUGAUUGCUCGUUUAGAAAUUUCUCUUGUGUUUUCAAUAAAUUUUCACAAAUGUAUAAACUAUUCAUGAUAUUUUAAAUUUUCAUGAAUAUUCCUAAAAAAUAAAUGUCUCGUGAAUUUUAACAAUGUCGAUGGUUUUUUUAAGAACACACGUUUUAAAAAUGUUCACAACUAUAUAAAAACACAUUCCAUCUAUUUAAAACUGUUCAAAAAAUCUUUUAAAAUAUGAUUGUAAAUUUAAGAAUAUUUAUGAAUUAUGGGAGUGCUCUCUAUAGUUUUUGUUGAAUUUUAGGGUUUCCUAUUUAUUUAAUAUUUAUUGUCAUUUUGCUAUUUUUUCUUCUUCUUUUUGUAUAGGUUUUCUUUUAUCUUCUUUUUAAAUCAUGAACAUGGAGGAUUCGAUGAAGGAUAAUAGUGUUGAGUGCAAAAUGAGUCGUGUAACAUCCCUGGAGUAAUCCCCUAACUAUUUUUUGCCUAUGAUAUUGGUUGUGCAUCAGAUGCAUCUCAUAAGCAUUAUAUUGUGUUAAUUGAUUAAUUUGGUUACCCUCCGGAGUGGGGGAUUCUUUGACAUCGUCAACACCAACCUCUUCUCCAUCACCACCAUCAUGAUCUCCCAUUCAUGUCUGAGUAAUUUCUUUGUGGGCACAUGGGGUGGGUGGAAAUUGGAUCACACAUCUCUUAUGUAAUAGAUGUCAGAUUUGAUAUGGUUUGUGCCUAGUACCUUGUAUGUUUCUGAGACUGAUGUUGUUGUGACUUUGUUAUACUUAAUGCUUGACACUAGGGCCCGAAUGUCAUAAUUUCAUAUUUGAACCCUUUAUGUUUUCAUGAAUAUACAUGUGUUUUUGGAUCAUAUCUGCAAGUUCUAUGCGUGUAUUAUAGUUAAAAGCCAGAGACCUUGAAGUAACAGCAAUCGGGCUAUCAAAAGGGAUGGCUAUGAUUUGAGGAUUACAUGUAUUCAUAGAUUGCUUUGCUCCGAUGCUUUGUGAAACGAUUAAAUUAAUUACCCUUAUUUUCCAUUAGGAUCCCCCUGAAACAGGGGGUAAGACAAAAGAUGGUGUGCAAGUUAUUAUUGCAAGCGCGUACAACUACAUAUGGAAUACAUGCGUGCCUACAUAUGAUUGAUGAAUUGGAGUCAAGCUUAUUGUCACCUUGUGCAGCUAUUAGAUGGUUGCUUCCAUCCAUGAGAUGUCCACUAUCCACUCCCAUGUCUACGCUUUCCGUAAUCAUUGUUCUCUUUAUGUUACGUUUGUUCUUUGCAACUACUAGGACCUAGUAUUUUGUUGUUACUAGAUGAUACCUCGCGCAUUGCUGCGGGAACGCAUGCUAAAUACUAAGAUCCGUAAAUGAAGCAUCAGGUGGCCUCUUGGCGGGGUGUGGGCGGGUGGCCGUGCUGUCCUCCAACACCCAAGAUGCGACCUCGAUCAGCUGGUGACGUCCCUUGAACUCUUGAUCCAGCUGAGGCCGAGGGAGAGUUUUGUCAGCACGACAGUGUGAUGACGAUGAUGAUGAAGUUACCGACGUAGGGCUUCGCCUAAGCACUGCAACAAUAUGAACGAGGUGGGAAUAUGUGGAGGGGGUACCGCACACGGCUAAACAAUCAACUUGUAUGUCUAUGGGGUGCCCCCUCCCCCGUAUAUAAAGGAGUGGAGGAGGGGAAGGGCCGACCUCAUGGGGCGCGCCCAAGGGGGNNNNNNNNNNNNNNNNNNNNNNNNNNNNNNNNNNNNNNNNNNNNNNNNNNNNNNNNNNNNNNNNNNNNNNNNNNNNNNNNNNNNNNNNNNNNNNNNNNNNNNNNNNNNNNNNNNNNNNNNNNNNNNNNNNNNNNNNNNNNNNNNNNNNNNNNNNNNNNNNNNNNNNNNNNNNNNNNNNNNNNNNNNNNNNNNNGGAUUGGGCUUGGGGGGCGUGCGCCUCCCACUUAGCCGCCGCCUCCUAUCUUCCACCAUGGCCCAUUAAGGCCCAUUAACUCCCCGAGGGGUUCCGGUAACCCCCCCGGUACUCCAGAAAAUGCCCGAACUAAUCUGAAACCUUUCCGGUGUCCAAACAUAGCCUUGCAAUAUAUUAAUAUUCAUGUCUCGACCAUUUCAAGACUCAUCGUCAUGUCUGUGAGCACAUCCGGGACUCCAAACUACCUUUGAAAUAUCAAAACACAUAAACUCAUAAUACCGAUCGUCAUCGAACGUUAAGCGUGCGGACCCUACGGGUUCAAGAACUAUGUAGACAUGACCGAGACUCAUCUCCAGUCAAUAACCAAUGCGAUAGACUUGUACGAUGUACAUACUUUCCACCUCCUGUGUGCCAUUGUGGCGACCCCUUUGACAUAUAAAAGGAGGCCCAAGGCGUACCGAGGGGGGAUUCAGACUUUUUGGGCUAGGCAUGCACCACAGCUAGUCCAGGAGCUCAAGAACACCAAAUAUACACCAAAGUAGGACUAGGGUAUUACGCAUCGUUUGCGGCCCGAACCUGGAUAAAAUUCUCCCGCGUUGAUCUUCUAGACCCGCUCUUUGCACAGCCCCGCGCCCCGCCAACCGUAGUAGGGAUUCCUCGUGAUCCCAUAGGUGUCGUUUCCCCGACAACGCCCUGGUGGGUUGUGGUCCCCACGUGGGCCCCCUCACUUAUCCCUUCACACCACAUCAUGACCAACCUCCAGAAAAAAUUCUGCAUUGCUCUCUCUCUCUUUCCCGUGUUCUUUCUCUCAAACCCGCAGAUUUCAUUCUCUUUGCUCGAAGCUCCGUUUCUGAAACUGUCUCGGGGGAUUGUUGCUUGGCAUGUGACUCAUCCGUUUGUCCAAUUAAUUUUUGUUUUAGUGGUUUAUAUUUUGAAUAAUUAGCUACUCUUGGUGCUACUGUAGAUGAUCUUACAUGUUGAAUUCUUAGAGUUAUAAGUAGUUUGAAUGCUUGCUAUGGCCUCCAUGUAUCCCUAUGAGUAGUUGCUAUCAAUCUUGUAAAGUUUUGUUGAGAAAAAUUUUGUGGACUAAAAAUUUCAGAUUUUUUGUUCAUAGGAAAAGGAUGAAUAUAUUUAGGAAAUUUGCUUCCAAGAAGAACUCCAAGGGAAUUAUUGGGGAGUCAUCUGAUAGUGAUCUCCAUCCCUGGAGGUUGGACUAAAAAUUUCAGAAUUUUUGUUCAUAGGAAAAGGAUGAAUAUAUUUUGGAAAUUUGCUUCCAAGAAGAACUCCAAGGGAGUUAUUGGGGAGUCAUCUGAUAGUGAUCUCCAUCCCCUAGUGCUCUCGGCGCGGCGUGGUCAACGUGGUCAAGGAACGACUUCCAUCGGAUGUGGACUGUACGUGGAGAGGCCGACAGCUGGGUCCACGGCGGCAGCAUGGAAGUGCCUCCUUAUUACGCGGAAAAUAAUGAUUCCUCCACCUGACAACAGGGACCCACCGGACGGGCCACCAUAUUUCAUGAAAAAAAUGUUUCCCCCCUGACUGCUGGGACCCACCAGCUACACCUUCGCACGCAAGGAAGUGCCUGACAGUCGGGACCCACCUGGUCGAAGCGUACGUAGCGUUGUCAUUCUGGUCGCGAACGUCUACGUACAUAUAUACUGGUGGAUGUAGAGGCGCGCAUGUGUCGUGGUAGAGGAGCGCAUGUAGCAUGUACACGUACGUACAUCGGCCAGGGUGCAAGAAAGAAAAUAUGGCCACAUAUGUGUACAUACGGGCGGGGUCUCAAACGCCUACUCACACAUACGUACGGCGAGGGCUCGUGUACAUGGCUGGGUCGGAACGGAGAAACAUCAUCGUCGUCAUGUUCAUGGGGAGGCAACGGAAUGCGUCGUGUUCAUCGGGAGGCAAUGUGGCUGGGUUGGAACAGAAUGCGUGGUUGUGUUCAUUGGGAGGGCUUGGACGGAAGAGGUGAUGGAAAUGAGGCCUGGCGUACCGCACAACGGAGGAAACAGACCUCCUACGGUUGAAACGGGGGUCCUGUUGAUCGAGAGGGGUGUGGCGUACCGCACAACGGAGGAAACGGACCUCCUACGGUCGAAACGGGGGUCCUAUUGAUUGGGAGGGGUGUGGUGUACCGCAAAAGGGAGGAAACGGACCUCCUACGGUCGAAACGGGGGUCUUGUUGAUCGGGAGGGGUGUGGUAUACCGCAAAACGGAGGAAACGGACCUCCUACGNNNNNNNNNNNNNNNNNNNNNNNNNNNNNNNNNNNNNNNNNNNNNNNNNNNNNNNNNNNNNNNNNNNNNNNNNNNNNNNNNNNNNNNNNNNNNNNNNNNNNNNNNNNNNNNNNNNNNNNNNNNNNNNNNNNNNNNNNNNNNNNNNNNNNNNNNNNNNNNNNNNNNNNNNNNNNNNNNNNNNNNNNNNNNNNNNNNNNNNNNNNNNNNNNNNNNNNNNNNNNNNNNNNNNNNNNNNNNNNNNNNNNNNNNNNNNNNNNNNNNNNNNNNNNNNNNNNNNNNNNNNNNNNNNNNNNNNNNNNNNNNNNNNNNNNNNNNNNNNNNNNNNNNNNNNNNNNNNNNNNNNNNNNNNNNNNNNNNNNNNNNNNNNNNNNNNNNNNNNNNNNNNNNNNNNNNNNNNNNNNNNNNNNNNNNNNNNNNNNNNNNNNNNNNNNNNNNNNNNNNNNNNNNNNNNNNNNNNNNNNNNNNNNNNNNCCACCCCUCCACGGGCACCCCUCCACCAUCUACUGCUCAUCCUGCCCUCCACACCACGGGGUCCUGUUCAUCCACCCCUCCACGGGCACCCCUCCACCAUCUACUGUUCAUCCAGCCCUCCACCACACCACGGGGUCCUGUUCAUCCAGAGGCAACGCCACCGCUCACUGUUCAUCCACCCCCCCGCAACACUCACUGUUCAUCCCAUCGAUCGGCUUCAGUUAGCAGCAGUAGCCAAGGAAUUGCUCGAUCGGGUUCAGUUAACAGCCAUCGAUCGAUCGCUCGGGUUUAGUAAUGCGUAGCCUGCAGUGCAAUCGCUCGGGUUCAGUUAGAGCCCAACGCCUCGCUCGGGUUCAGUUAGAGCCAACGCCUCGCACACACGCGCGUACGUGUACGAGAGAAACGCGCAUCGCUCGGCCCCCGACCUCCCACCGUAACCGGGAACUCCCAGUAAUUUCCCCCCUCGCUUCUACCAUGUUUUUUUCUGUCAUGGAUGGCCCAAAGAAUGUCAUGCAGCUGCGUCUCCGGCCCGCCCAGGACGAAAAGCCCAUUUUCUGUCAUGAUUUUUUUGUCAUAGAAGUAGGAGCCCACCACAUCUAUGAUGAUACCGGGUUUUGUCACAAUUAUCGUCAUAGAAGUGUCAUAUGUAUGACAAAAAAAAUUUCGUUUAGCCCAAAAUGUCACGGAUGUGUCUUUUUUUUGUAGUGAUAGAGCCUUCAAGUUCUAGGCCGGGUCAAACCUUUAGCCGGGUUAUAACCAUGGGGAAUAUCCCCAACACAACAAGUUAAUUUGCGGCUGAUGUCCUCCUCGUUCGAUCUCAAUUCCCAUACACUCAGUAGUGGAAGACCUAAAAUUCCCCGAUGGCGACGGUGACGGCCCAGAUCCAGAGUAAGCUGGGACCGUGACUUCUCCAGCAAGCUCUAUCGAGUUAAAGUGAUAGUUGAUGUUAGGAAACAAAUGAGAAAUCAUGUCUCUAUAGCUAAAUAUAAGAAAAGACAAAUCUUGAAAGCUAAGUAUGAAAGGUUGCCUUAUUGGUGUGUUGUUUGUCGCAUGAUUGGGCAUUUAUUUACAUUGCAUGGUGAGUGUGCUCUAAUCUUUAUGGAUGUGUGAUCAAAUUGGGUCAUGCGCUCUAUUGGUCAUGCUAGAGAUAGUAGCCAAUCUGAUAGAGUUGAUUCAAAUGGUAAUAUAUCAUGUGAUGUUAGAGGAUGAUAAGAAUAUGGAGAUUGAUGCUAACAAAAGUAAUGUGAAUGCUGAUCGGAACAACCUUGACCUGAGCCGAAAGUGAAACAUGGCAAUGUUUGGCAAGCAAUGCCUACAUGUUGGUGCUGCCACCGGUACUGGAGGUAGUAAUGAAACACCUCCCAAAGCUUUGUGAGACACUUCUAUAGUAUGACAUGCCAAGCUCCAUCAACCCACUUAACAACUCCACAAUCUACACCUCCCUGCAAAUCAUCUAUAACACUACCCUCUCUAGGUUUAAAGAGCCCACAUUCAAUUAAGGUCUCUAACUAGAAUUGGGUCACCGACUUUGGCCAGGUCAACAAUUUCGCAAAACUCUCUCAUUCAAUUAUUUUAUACUAUACACUAUGCUUUCUAAUUUUUAAGGCCUCAUAAUUAAUCGACGUAUUCAAUUUAUAAUUGUAUCAUCCAAUUUUGACCGGGUCAAUGAUUUCUCAAGCCCUCCCAUUCAAUUCUUUUAAUACACUAUGUUUUCCUAAUUUUGAAGUUCUUUCAUUUAAUUGAGGUAUUCAAUUUUGGAUUUGGUUUACGGUUUUGAUUGGGCCAACAAUUUUUUAAAUCAAUCAACAACAACCUAGCCUAUAAAAACAUAUCAAUCCCACACACCCUCCCACCACCUAGAAAAAAGAAGCGUCACCAUGUGAUAUUGUAGCAUCAAUAGUAUAUGCAACCACUGACAUAGAAAUUUCUCCACAUAAAUAUAGAGUUUAGCGGAUAACAUAGAAUCACACAACAAAAGGCCCACCAAAUCAACCCAUUAUAAAUAUAAAUAAAACACACUCUAUCAUCUCCUCACCCGCCAAAUAAAAUAUUUUAUCAGUUCCAAAAAUAUAAGGGGUAUCCUUUUUUUAUAAAGUUAAAUUUCUUUAACUUUGACCAAAUUCAGCGCAAAAAUAUCGACAUCCACAAUAUUAAAGAAAGUAUGGAAAUUCAUUUCAUGAUGAAUUAAAAAAAUACCAAUAUGAUAUUGUGGAUUUUGAUAUAUUUCUCUACAAAUUUGAUCAAACUUAAAAGGUUUGCCUUUUCAAAAAGUAACAAACCUUAUAUUUUAAAACUUAGUGUUUUUUAAAGAAACCCAACAAUAACAAUGGCGCAGCAAAGCGCGUCCAACCCUUCUAGUAAUAUUUGAACUCACAACACAAUUCAACGUACUACAACUAAAGUGUCGACGUCGGCGUCUAGAUGAGAGUGAGUAGGAGAGAGUGCAAGAGUGAGUGAAGCAGUGAGGGAGGGGAACGGAUCGGGGCCCUCUUUUGACCAGUUUCAGCUAAUAACCGUUACCCUCUCCGUCUCUGGUAGCCAAUGUGGCAGCUGUAAGCAAGCCCCAUCUCUCAGAAAUAGGAUUAAAUUGGCUCGAAUCGAUCAUUAGACUUUAUUGAGAAAACUAGCAAGGAAAGUGGCAGAUUUUGUUGCGUACAAGACAAGUGGUACCAAAACAAGAUUUCGAUGAGGAAGGUGGUAGUUUUUUGUAAUUCACACAAAGAUGACUAUGAUAUUUCUCUAUAAGUACGCCCCUGGAUAAGUUUUGGUAUUUCUUCCUAUGGCAUCCAUAAUAGCCAAGCAAUGUACGUGUUAGGGAUGGAUUGGAGACCAAUGAGACAGGCCAUCGCUUCAACUUGCUCUGCAUUUUUGUAUCUCGCAAUCUCGUAACUAUGCGUCCACAAGAGGCAGAUCCUUCCAAGGUGAUCCCCGGCGAUGCACCCCACAUGGCUACCGCCAUCAUGCGAAUGGAAAGUCUUGUCCAUGUUAACAUCCAACCCAUAUCCGAUGGUUUCUAAGAAACUAUGUUGCUCGAACUGGUUCCUGCAUUAGCCAUAAGACAAUUUUCUUUGUGAAUUUUGUGACACUCCAAAAUUUUAAUUUGGUUUUUAUCAAAAACUUUGUGGUUUUUGAAAAGAGGCCAUUUAAUUUUUUUUAGAAAAACCUUCCUCUUAAAAAACUUCCUUUUCUUUGGCAAGGUUUUUAUUUUUAUUCAAGCUAUGGUGUUUGAUCUUUUGAAACUUCUUCUCUGUUGGUUCCCUCUCAAAUCUAUUUUGGGAGUUUAAUUUUUUUCUUUUAAAAAGAAACUCUAUGAAAAUUUGGGAUUUUCAUAUCUUGAAAACCACCCAUGACUUGGCAUUUUGCCCAUGUGGUAAAACCCCUCCAAAACCUCCCCUCCUCCUUGUAAUCAACCUAAGUUCUCUGUCCCAACUAAUCUAAGCAAGUUUUGGAUUUUAUUCUAAUUAUUUUUCCUCUCAAAUCAUUUCUGAAAAUUAUUUGGAGCCUGAGUGAUUUUCAAAGCAAGUACCCUUUUGCAUUUGAGUUUUGACCUCAAACCAACUCUCCUGGAUAGUCCUUUGUACCCACAACCCAGAACCAUCUUGAUCCACUCCUUCUCUUUUCAAAUUUUUCAAAAUUCAGUCUCUGCAAGUUUGGACCAGAUUUGCCAAAUUUGAUGAAAUUCAUAUCUACACUCCUCCAAAAAUUCCACCAAAAUUCAGGCAGCCUACUUGAGCAAUGAGAAGCCACUCCACCAAAAAUCAGCUCAAGGAAAAAUCCCCAGAGGCCAAAUUCAUUCUGUCGAACACCUGAGCUGCACUGUUCCUUUGCAAGUUCAGAAAGUUCAGAGAUUCAGUCGUUUUCCCUUCGUCAGACUCGGUCACGCGGCCACAGUGCGCCCUGGCGCGUUGCACGCAGCCUCUUCUCCCUGGCCAGCACCCCGCACGCACGCUUGGCCGAUUCCUGGCGUCGGUAGCAACGAGCCUCGCCGGCGUUGGAAGCUUCUGCGGUGGCUGCACCUUCUGUGGCGGCCAACAAGGGCCCGAGCCCUCUCGCCAUGCCACCCGGCGCCGCCCAACACCCCCUGGCUCUCCGCGUGUCCCUGCCAUGCCAGCGCACGCCCGUGGCACCAUCGCCGUGGCCCGGCAAGCACGGAACGUGCUCCCUGCCGCCGACGGGCCGCGCCACCCCCGUUCCGUCGAGCUCGCCCAUAGCACCAAAUCCCAGCCCGUUUAGCACCUAAAUGGAACCGGUGGACCUCAACGGCGAUGCCCAAGCCCCUAAUCCCACUGCCCAACCACAGCACCGCCGUAAUCACUCGCCGGAGACCCCCGUUCACGGCAACUGCCUCGGGCCGCCUAUAAAAAGGGCCCCCGAGCUCACCCUCGUGCACGCAUCAUCACCACUCCUCACCAACGCCACGCCAGGCCACUAGGAGGUCCUCGAGGAGGUCUCCUCCCCCAACUCCGGCCGCCCCGAUCCGCCUCGGCCUCCACCACGAUUCGCUCCGCCCUCUCCGACGAGUCCCUCGACCACCCGAGCGCCACCGUCCACUGGAGCAAAGCUUGCCGUCGACGUGGUACUCGCCGACGACCACCACCACCACCAACCGACGCGGAAUGGCGCCCUGAGCACGGAGAUACCGAAGGAGGUGACGGAGCCGCGAACUUCACCGAGCUAGGCUCCGACUACUCUGAACCAGGCAAGCAUGUUUGAACUUUUGAUAUGAUGAGUGUCUUGGCAUGUUUUGCAUUUAGUUAGUUUCAUGGCAUGUUGAGAAGCAUAUCGAUGAACGUUAUUUUAUGCAAUAUUGAGGUAAGUGAGUUCGAUGAUCCAUAAGUGGAUGGAUGUGAGUAUGAAUGGCCAUGUGUUGGCAUGAGGAUGGGUAAGAUGGCAGUGUCGUAGCAUGCCAGUCUUAUGCCAGACUAUGUGACUUCAGUGUCAAACCGUAUCGGUCCAGUUCCUCUCAUUUCCUUCCCUGUACUACCACAUGUUUUCCGCAAGGAAUAUGGUUUAGUAAGUUGCAAACCGCUUUUCUGGUACACACCAAAAGGAGAGGCCGUGAUGAUGGUUCCAGGCCCUGGAUUAAAGCCAGUCAUCCGGUCAGGGGGCAUGGGUGUUUCCGGUUGGGACCGAGAGGGGGGCACCCCUUAGAGCGCGCGUAUAUAAAUUUGAUCCCAUGCUAUUCGAUAUUGUGAUCUCCCCGUCUCAAAUGUUUUUCUUGGAAGAUGUCUAGGGUGAUUCCUAGCAUCAAGAGGUAGGAUGGGUGUGUACUGGUUAGCUGUGUUUUCUUCCGAAAUACCGUAAACGGAACUAGUCCUUCGUGACUACGGAAAUCCGUUGGCUGAGGAAAAAUUUUGUACAAACUCUGUAGAGUCAUAUAUUCCUCCAAAUCAUCUAUUCCAUGUCCUAGAUCGAUAUUAUCUUAUCCUAAUCAAAUGUCAGUUUUGAUGACAGAGACUCCGGUGAUUCGCAUGAGUGCUAAUUCCGGUUAAUUGAUUAUUCCUGUGGAUGGACUAACCCAUUUAUUCUCAUGAAUUAAAUGUUUAUUAUGAGUAUUCUUUACUUGUGAAUAAAAGCCCUUUUUGCGAUGUCGCUCAGACGUCCGACUGUGGCAUUGUUGUAUUCUACUUUCUUUUCAAGCCCUUUAUGCGAUGUCGCUCAGACGUCCGACUGUGGCAUUUCUUUUAAAGCCCUUUCUGUGAUGUCGCCCCGACGUCCGACUGUGGCAUUUCUUUUAAAGCCCUUUCUGUGAUGUCGCUCCGAUGUCCGACUGUGGCAUUUCUUUUAAAGCCCUUUCUGUGAUGUCGCCCCGACAUCCGACUGUGGUAUUUCUUUUAAAGCCCUUUAUGUGGUGUCGCUAAGACGCCCGACUGUGGUAUCAUUUCCUUAUAUUUAUUUGUUCACCUUUCGAGGCGUCGCUUCAGACACCCGAUCGGUAGUUAUUUAUGUUUUGUUGGGAUUUCAGGCGGACUACCGCCGUUUCCCUUUUAUUUACCUUGUUAUGCUAAUUUUUUGAAUGUACAUUGGUGAAUUAUUCAUGACGCAUCCAUGCAUGCAUUUGUUAUAUCUUACGUCCGAACUGUCUUGCGAGUACUUUCAAAGUACUCACUGGCUUGUUGAUUUGGCCAGAUGCUGACGAAGGCGAUCUCAUGGAUGAAGAGUUUGAUAGCGAGUCCGACACCUAGAGGAGUCCCAGUCAGUCUCGUGCGACCCUAGAUUUGGUCACUGUUUUAUAUCCGCUUCCGCUACCAAAUAAAUUCAUCGAGCCUCACCUCGACGCUCGAUAAGAUGACAGACUUAGAGUCUUGUAUUUCUCUCCCCGUUGUGUUUCUCCACCACCGCCCUAUCCUCGAGUCAGUAGUAUGCCUCCACACCACUAUGUCAUGUCCGCCAUUAUGUAUAAUUAUUGGCGUGCUUGUAAUAAUUUGGUUGAGCAACCGUAGUUCGACCCUGUAAUAUAUUUUAUGCUACUGGCUUAUUGUAUCAAGAAUCUGUCUACCAGUGAGGAGGAUUUCUCUCAUACUGGACUCAAAAGAUUGGUUUCUCAAUAAAUAUUUUUAUUGGAAAACCGGUCGUGACAAAUUUACCAUAAGAUCUUGAAUGUAUCUAGUCAACAAAUUAAUAGUUAGAUAUUUUACAUUCCCCUUUAUCAUGAACCACGUCGCAUCGGAGGUGCCAGGAGGCUCUCCAAAGAAUCGUGAAGAUCAUGUCUAUUAUAUCCUUGCUCACAUUGAACAAAAGGAAUGCAUCUGGAACAAUCUUACACAAGAAAAGAAAACUUCUUACACAAUGAGAACUCAAACAAGAAAAGAAAGAUCGAUCGGAUCCGGAUGUAGGUUUUUUCACAGAUUCUUCUAAUGUUCUGAUCCAUGCAUGAACCAGCCGGGCCUCAUUCAUCAAACAAUAUUGCUUCGACUAUCGUGGAGUGAGGCCUUGACCCAUAUGUUGAUUAUUUAGGCCUUGUUCGUUUAUCCCUGGCUGGAUCAGGGCCCAAACCAUAUGUAUUUUUUCCUUUUUUUUCACCAUAUGUAUAUUAUUCUGCCCCAAAAACAGUGUUUUGCCUUUUGAUUUGAUAGGAACCUAACACUGUUGACUCGGUGCAAAACUCCGGCAGCCAACAAAUAAACUAACACUGCGUUUAAUAAACUAACAUAUGCUCGUUCGUGCAGGGAAAAACUGUCGUUGUUCGCUCUGCCAAAAAAGAUAAAUGCAUUUCCCUAAAAAAGAUAAAUGCAUAGGAAAUGCGGCUGCCUUGAAAGAUUAGAAAAAAACUACUCAUGCAAAUUUAAAACAUGUUCAUGGAAUUUUAAAUAUUCCUGAAAAUUUAAAACAUGUUCAAAUUUUUUUAUAAUAUUCACGAAUUUAAUAUAUGUUCAUGUUCCUUAAAGAUGUUCAAGGAUUUAAAAAAUAUAAAUUCUUAAUUUUAACAUGUCCACGGAAAAUGUUCCCAAAUUUUAUAAAAAAUUAUAGUAUUCGUGUAUUGCAGAAAUGUUUACAUAUUUGAAAAAUGUUCACCAAUUUAUGAAAUAUCCAUGAAUUUAAAAAAUGUUCAUAUGUUUUACUAAUGAUUGCUCGUUUAGAAAAUUUUCAUGUGUUUUCAAUAAUUUUUCACAAAUGUAUAAACUAUUCAUGAUAUUUUAAAAUUUUCAUGAAUAUUCCUAAAAAAAUUAAAUGUCUCGUGAAUUUUAACAAUGUCGAUGUUUUUUAAGAACAUGCGUUUUAAAAAUGUUCACAACUAUAUAAAAACACAUUCCAUGUAUUUAAAACUAUUCAAAAAAUCUUUUAAUAUAUGAUAGUAAAUUUAAGAAUAUUUAUGAAUUAUGGGAAUGCUCUCUAUAGUUUUUGUUGAGUUUUAGGGUUUCCUCUUUAUUUAAUAUUUAUUGUCGUUUUGCUAUUUUUUUCCUUCUUUUUGUAUAGGUUUUCUUUUAUCUUUUUUUAAUCAUGAACAUGGAGGAUUCGAUGAAGGAUAAUAGUGUUGAAUGCAAAAGGAGUCGUGUAACAUCCCCGGAGUAAUCCCCUAACUAUUUUUUCCUAUGAUAUUGGUUGUGCAUCAUAUGCAUCUCAUAAGCAUUAUAUUGUGUUAAUUGAUUAAUUUGGUUACCCUCCGGAGAGGGGGAUUCUUUGACAUCGUCAACACCAACCUCUUCUCCAUCACCACCAUCAUGAUCUCCCACUCAUGUCUGAGUAAUUUCUUUGUGGGCACAUGGGGUGGGUGGAAAUUGGAUCACACAUCUCUUAUGUAAUAGAUGUCGGAUUUGAUAUGGUUUGUGCCUAGUACCUUGUAUGUUUCUGAGACUGAUGUUGUUGUGACUUUGUUAUACUUAAUGCUUGACACUAGGGCCCAAGUGUCAUAAUUUCACAUUUGAACCCUUUAUGUUUUCAUGAAUAUACAUGUGUUUUUGGAUCAUAUCUGCAAGUUGUAUGCGUCUAUUAUAGUUAAAAGCCAGAGACCUUGAAGUGACAGCAAUCGUGUCACACCCUAGCUAGUCAUGCAUCAGAGUGUGUGCAUCAUGUUUAAAUUUCCAUUUAAUUUGAAAUGGGGAUUUGUGAAACCCUCAGAAUCAUUUUUGAAAAUGAUCCAAAUAAAAAUUUCUCCAAAAAGGUCCAAGAAAAUGCUCAUGUUGCUCUCUGAAAAUAUUGGACAGAGAUAAAAAUCAAACCAAUAUUUUUAAGAGCUCAUAGGUAUUUAUUUUGGGCAUUUGGAAUUAAUGCAUAAAUAUUUGCAUUGGAAAUAUAUUAGUUAUAUAUAUUAAUAUAUGUCCAAAUAUUAUGCCAUUUAUAAAGGAGCUCUGGAAUAAUAUAUCUAGCCCCUGCAAAAAUUGGCAUAAGGUAAAUAAAUGAUUUAAUAUUUUAUUUAAAUCAAAACAAAUGUCAGAAAUUAUAAAAACAGAAAACAGAAAAAAAGGGAAAACUUACCUGGCGCCACCACAGGCCCACCAGCCAGCCCACCUGGCCGGCCCAGCCCGGCCACCGCUCCAGCGAGCUGCUUGGCUUGCCAGGCAGGCAGCCAAGGUGCUCGGCGGCGGCACCGCAGCUCGCCACGCAGCUGCACGUCGCCCUGCUUCCCCCUCUCGCCGCCCUGCUGGCCUGGACGAGCUCCACGUCGCGCCCCGACCCCUCUGGACACCUCCAUUCGCCCCCAGUUCCUCUCCCUCGCGCUCCCACGCCAUGGCCGACGCCACCGUCGCCGCACCGCCGCCGUAGCCGUGCUCCCCGUCGUCUCCACGCCGCGCCACCGUGCCCAGAAGCUCCGCCGUCCUCUACUUCUUCGAGCUAGCCGAGCCCCGAGCGCUCGCGUGCCCCGAAGCCGCCGCACCAACCUCGCCCGAACCGCCAUCGCCGGAGAUCCCCUUCGCCGUCGCCGCUGCAGCAGCUCAUCCCCGACCACGCCGUCCUUUCCAUCAAGACCGCAGUGAGCUGUGCUAACUUCCCCUUCCUCUCUUUCUCUCUCUCGUGCACCACAGCGAGCACACUAAGCUCACCCGCACGCGCCGUCGCGGACCUCUUCGCCGACGUGCUCCCGGCCAUCCUCCGGCCACCUCACCUUGUCCAUCGCACUCACCACGCCGCGUUGGGGCUAACCAUGCACUCCUCGCACCUCACCGCACACUCUAGCCACGAGUUCGUAUUCAACCGAACUCCGGCGGCCGCCAAAGUCGCCGCCGGCGCCAACUCCGGCCACCCCGAGCCCAACCACCACCACCAAUAGUCGCGGCUCAACCUCAGCAACACGUAGAUGCCUUCCGCCGUCCAUUUGGUUGCCGGAAUGGCAAAAAGCACUUUCGUCGCCGCGUCGGGCUCGCCGGCGGCUAGACGCCGGCGUGUUUGACUCUGACUUUGACCACGGGUGGGCCCCGGUUGACCCCCUGGGUCUAUGACAUGUGGGGCCCCCUUUGUUAAUUAAUCCAGUUAGUUUAAAUCUAAUUUAGUUAAACUAAUUGAAUACUGACAUGCGGGACCCACUGGUCAGUUUGACCUGGACCAUCCCGUUGACCACUGACGUCAUCAUGACGUAGUGCUGACGCAGUAAUUUAAUUACUGGAAUUAUUUUUACACAGGAAAUUCCAGAAAAUGUUUCAAACUUCCAAAAUUCAUAUAAAAUCAACCGUAGCUCCAAAUCAAACAAGUUAUAUAUGAAAAAUGAUCAGAAAAAUCCAAUCUUUCCAUCUGUACUGGUUUCAUGCAUGUUUAAGCAAGCUAACCUGCUGUUUAUCACAGAACAAGAUAAAACACCUUAAAUGGCAACUUAUGAGUUUGAACUUUGAAUCAAUGGUUCAAAUUAGUUCAAACCCAUCUGUUCUUAGUUGCAUUAGCCCAAUACACUCAUUUUGCCAUGUCUCAUGCAUGCAUCAUAUUGUUGCAUACUGUUUGGUAAUGUUUGUGUAUGGGUGCUCUCUGCGGCAGGUUCUGCCCCCGAGGAGUACCGUGAUAACCCCGACGAAGAGCAAUACCAGUGCACCGACCCGUCAGGCAAGCAACCAAAAAUUUGAUCAUAUCGAUACAAUCCCAUGUUCUCGCUCCUGCUCUCUUUUACUGCAUUAAGAUAACGCGUUUCAAACUGCUGUGUGCUACGGUAGUUGAACCCAUUUCCUCUGCAUGACCUGUCAUUGCCACAGUAACUAGAUGAAACCCACUAGCAUGUGUAGGAGUUGAUUGAGCCAUAUGUAUGUGUUGUUCCUACCUUGCUAUGCCUGCUAUGCUUAGAGUCGUGUCAGGUCUGGCUCAUCUGGGUGAUGGCUAGACUGAAAUGAUUAUGUCGGUAAUGAGAGUGGUGUGGUGAACACGAUUUGGUAAAGGUAUCGAUGAGAGGCCAUGUAGGAGUACAUGGUGGGUUGUUUCAUUGAAGCCGACCUUAAGCACUGAGAUCUGUAUGUGUGAUUUAAGAUACAACUACUACCAUGCAUUGGGCCCUGAAAUAUGACCCCGCUCGACUUCUUAUUCACCCUAGCUCUCUGUCCAGGAGUUGCAAGUAGUUUCUGGUGUUUGUAGCCUACUGGAGGCCGUGGACAGUGCUGACCGUAGGGGUGGGCUGUGAUGCGGUAGGUACGUGGCCGGGUGUACCGAAUACCCGUUAGGUAUCUCGGGAACCCUGUUCACAUCGUUCGGGGCCGUAUGGGAAACCUCGGCCGGACUCCCUGCGGAUGGAACCUGAAUAGGCGAUAAACCUGGACUAGAGGCUUAAGUGUUUAGGUAGGUCGUGGUCUACACCCACGUCGGCUUUCGCUUGAAGUCUGCCGAGCACAUAUCGUGUGCAGACGCUAAGUGGUGGAAACAUGUAUGAAGAAGUACACCCCUGCAGGGUUAUCAUGAUCUAUUCGAAUAGCCGCGUCCGUGGUAAAGGACUACUUGGUUGCCUAUACAGUUCAUAGACAAGUAAAUGGAAACUACUAAAAGCCUCAAGAUAAGUGUGAGUGCCGAGGAUGGCUCUUCCGUAGGAAGACGGAGGUGGAUCCUCGGUAGUGUAUUGAAGUGGUGAGUAGUGGACUCGUGUGCGCAAAACCAUUUCAAGUUGGAGUCUCGUAGGAUAGCCUAGCCAAGAGUCAAAGCUGGCUUGCUGCAACAACUCCACCAACCCUUCUUGAUAAUGUGCAUGUAUGUAGGAUCUAAUGUAAGUCUUGCUGAGUACCUUUGUACUCAUGUUGCUAUAAUUUACAUUUUUACAGAAGACGCUGCAACCCCUUCUGAUGGGUUCUUCGUAGACGUUGACAUCAAUGAGUAGGCUAAGGCCCAGGUGGUGAUCCUGAGCUUGUGAAGGACCACGUAGUAUAGCUAGGCUUCCCAAGCCUCUUUUUAUUUUACUAGUUGUCUGUACUCAGACAAGCUACUUCCGCUGCUGGUUUGUAUGACUGUAUGACUUGAAUGCUGGGUCGUGUGACCCGUACCUAUGUGUAUGUUAUGUAUGGCUCUCUGAGCCUUAAAUAAAGUACUUGUGUCGUAGAGUCAUGUUGUGAUGCCAUGUUGUAUUUGCACAUAUCGAGCAUACUGUGUGUAUGUUAUUGAAAUGCUUGGUAUGUGUGGGAUCUGACUAUCUAGUUGUUUAUCUUUAGUAGCCUCUCUUACCGGGAAAUGUCUCCUAGUGUUACCGCUGAGCCAUGGUAGCUUGCUACUGCUCUGGAACACUUAGGCUGGCCGGCAUGUGUCCUUCUUCGUUCCGGUGUCUGUCCCUUCGGGGAAAUGUCACGCGUUGAGUACCGGAGUCCUGUUAGCCCGCUACAGCCCGGUUUACCGGAGUCCUGCUAGCCCAGUGCUACAGCCCGGACCCACUUGCUGAUGACCGACACGUUCGAAGCUGGGUCAUGGAUGCCUGUCCCUGUAAGUCUGUGCCACUUUGGGUUUACGACUAGUCAUGUCAGCCCGGGCUCCUUAUCAUAUGGAUGCUAGCGACACUAUCAUAUACGUGAGCCAAAAGGCGCAAACGGUCCCGGGCAAAGGUAAGGCGACACCCGUGGGGAUACCGUGCGUGAGGCCGCAAAGUGAUAUGAGGUGUUACCGGCUAGAUCAAUGUGACAUCGAGUCGGGGUCCUGACAGCGUUGGCAUCAGAGCCGGACUGCCUGUAGGUUCUCCAAGCCAAACUGGUCGAUGUUGAGUCUAGAAAUUCUUUAGUUAUAUGUAGGGGAAUUGUUUGUGGGUUGGAACAUAAGGCUCUUUUUACUCCUCUAUCUUGUGGCAUUCUGAUCUGAGUCAGUCUAUUCUUCCACCGGGGGUUAAGGAAUUAGGACCUAUUCUCUCUAUCAGGAUCACGUGUUACUAAUCAGUAGUACCUUAUAGGUAUGAUGGAUACAAGCCUAGUUCAGUUCUUUUACCAUAUUAUGUUGCUAGGAUGGUCUCAGAACUUGGUAUGAUGAUGUUGAGUGUGUAUGAAAUCCUUUGUCAAAUGUCUCAAAAUCCUUCUUGAGCAUUUACAGCUGUUAUGCUGCCGAAAUUUUGCUAGAAAUUCUAAUGCCUUUGCAUUAUGAUUGUGCUUUCAGAUGGCCACUCGCGACCUCAAUCAAGUGGUUCGCCUGACUCGAUGCCUAGAUGUACCCGGCCAUACUGCCAAGUUGGUCAGGGUAAUGACUGAGGCUGGAUACCGCUGGUAUCCUGAGUACACGGUCGAAGAGCAAUUUCGGGACUUCAAUCAAAGCCAGUAUCUCUGCACUGUCAGGAUAUUUCCAUCUUAUCCUGGAUCCACCGAGCCUCUUCACUGCUCCUAUGGACUCGGGGUUACUAUUGAGAUGGCUGUGCAGGACGCCGCCUACUCUAUGAUGACCAUUAUGCGAGUCAGAUCUGGUCUAUUUCGAGACUCUGAUUUCCGGUAUAUGCCAGGAUCACUUCCGGGAGCACAAGGGUAUCUCCAGGCUAUCUAUGCUGACCCCACUCAGGAGGAUUCACGGACUCGCACCACUGCUGAGAUGCUCGAGGAUAAGGACCGUGAAAAUCGGGCCUUGAGGUUAGAGCUCUUCAAUACCCGUGCUGACCACUGGGCCACAUUGACUCGGUUUGCACCGGCGGUGCAAGCUGGAUAUUCGGAUAUGCGCGAUCUCUAUCCUGUGAGAUCUGCUCUGCCAGACGUGAUGGGUUGGCGUGAUGUAGGAGGCAUCACCCACCUCGUGGUCCCCGCAGGCCACCGUCUGUUGGUCCAAGACCUCAUCCUAGCCCCUAUGGUCCACAAGCUCCGCGAGAUCGUCUGUUUCCGGAUGAUCAUGUUGAGCUUCCAGGCUAUGGAGGUGACUUCUACGAGGACUACUACGGAUCGGUCUGAGUUAGUGGUAGUAUCACUAGUUCGCACUAGCUGUGUCGUCUAUCGUCCCGCGUGACUCGUGGGAUAUGACCUAGUUUGUACUCUUUCCGGAGGUGUAGAAAAAUAAUGUAUAGGAGCUUGGGAUGCCUCCGAUAAGAUGUAAUCCUCUUUCACCGUAAUAGUACUUUGUUUGGUCUUGUACUAAACCCUGUAUGGUGUGUAUGACGAUGGAAUAAAGAAGCAGUUUCUGUAUCUACCAUGUCAUACGGAUGAUCAUCUUGCAUUUCGAGUUAUUCCUUACAUUCUGUAUCCUAUGUCGGAAUUUUAUCAUUCUGACUAAAUCAUUGUCUUGUUUACCUAGGAUGGUCAACACGCGCACUAACCCUGCUCCUCAAGAGCAGGCCGAAGGCAGUGAAGGCAGGAAUGCAAAUCUGCCUCAUCCUCCUUCCCUAGCCGAGGUUAUGAUGGAAGCUGAGAGAAACAAGCGGGAGACCAACCGUUUGUUGGAGCGUAUUGAACAGAAUACAGCACACCAUCAGAGGACUAACGUGGUGUCACUCAGUGAUUUUAUCAAAUUGCAUCCACCCACGUUCCACCACUCCGUCGAGCCUCUCGACGCUGAUGACUGGCUUCGUAGUAUCUCUCACAAACUGCGUUCCGCGCUGGUAGCGGAGGCUGACAAGGUCACCUUUGCUGCAUAUCAUCUUGAAGGCCCCGCUAGUCUAUGGUGGGAGAAUUAUGGAGCUAUGCGCCCUGCGGGCCAUGUCACUACUUGGGCUGAAUUCAGCGAGGCUUUCCGUGAACAUCACAUUCCGGAGGGUCUCAUGGACCGUAAACGUGAGGAAUUUUGCAGUUUCACCCAAGGCUGACUCUCUGUGGAUGCUUAUAGCAGGGAGUUUGGUAAUCUCGCACGAUAUGCAACCGAGGAAGUUUCUACCGAUGCCAAGAAGCAAGCAAGGUUCCGUAAGGGGCUUAGUCCUGAGCUUCGCCGCGACCUCCGUCUGCAUGAGUGCACAUCUUUUCAGAAACUUGUCAACAAGGCCAUCAGUGCUGAAACUGGUCAGACUGAUUAUGACGCAACACGCAAGCAUGGCCGUGACAUGGGUUCCUCGUCCGGUGCUGGUCCUCAGAAGCGCCGCGUGUGGGUGCCCAACACUGCCCUGCCACCCAGGUUCACACUGAGGCCAUCCUUCCAGGCGCCUCGCCCCGUUCAACAGUCUGCACCAGCCAAGCCCUAUGGUGGUCCAACCAACAAUGCUCCUCCACGUACCAGUUCCGUGACCUGUUUCAAGUGUGGGGAAUCUGGUCACUAUAUGCGUGAGUGUCCCCAGACCAACCCCAAUCAAUCUGCUAAAGCUGUUGGCCGUGGCAAGCCGACAGGGAAAGUGUUCCACGCCAAGCCGAUCACCGCCUCACGUGGCCAUGUCAACUAUAUCUCUGCCGAAGAAGCUCAAGAGGAUUCCAACGUCGUUCUCGGUACGCUUCUUGUUAAUUGCCACCCGGCAUCUGUUCUUUUCGAUACAGGAGCCUCUCAUUCUUUUAUAUCCGAAAAUUAUGCUCGUUUGCAUAACGUUGCAUUCUGUGACAUGCCAUCCACUAUGGAAAUUUCUACUCCCGGGUCUAGAUGGCAGACCUCUAGGGUAAGUUAUGGAAAUGAAAUCCAAGUCGACAGACUUGUUUUCCUCGCGUCAUUGAUAGCCCUUAAAUCUUCAGAUAUUAAUAUCAUUCUGGGUAUGGACUGGAUGUCGGCUCAUCAAGCCAAAAUUGAUUGCUUCUCUAGGACUGUUCAACUCACUCAUCCUUCGGGGAAGAUAGUCAAUGUCUUGACCCGAAUAGCCAAGCGACAAUUAUAUUCUCUUAACGCCAGCCCUUUGCCAGACCUUGAGGACAUUCCGGUAGUCUGUGACUUCCCGGAUGUCUUUCCAGAGGAAUUGCCAGGUGUUCCACCUGACAGGGAUGUUGAGUUCGUAAUAGACCUCAUCCCAGGAACCGUUCCGAUUGCUAGAAGACCUUAUAAGAUGGCACCCCUAGAACUAGCCGAGCUUAAGAAACAACUCGAUGAGUCCUUGAAAAAGGGUUUCAUCCGACCUAGCUCAUCUCCGUGGGCUUGCCCCGUCCUAUUCGUCAAGAAGAAGGAUGGUACGGACCGGAUGGUUGUAGAUUACCGACCUGUCAAUUUGGUCACAAUCAAGAACAAAUAUCCGCUUCCCAGGAUCAACGACCUGUAUGAUCAGCUCGCUGGAUCCUCAGUCUUCUCCAAGAUGGAUUUGAGGUUGGGCUACCAUCAAAUCAAAAUCAGAAACGGGGACAUUCCUAAAACGGCCUUUGUUACUCGUUAUGGCCAAUACGAGUACACCGUCAUGUCCUUCGGCUAAACCAACGCUCCAGCCACCUUUUCUCGGUUAAUGAACUCAAUCUUCAUGGAGUAUUUGGAUAAAUUCGUCGUUGUUUACCUCGAUGAUAUACUCAUCUACUCCAAGAACAAGGAAGAACAUGCCGAACAUCUAAGGCUAGUGUUGCAGAAACUUCGAGAGCAUCGCCUUUAUGCCAAAUUUUCUAAAUGUGAAUUCUGGUUGUCAGAAGUGACCUAUCUGGGUCAUGUAAUAUCUGGUAAAGGUAUUGCUGUUAACCCUGAGCGAGUUCAAGCUGUCCUUAAUUGGACUCCACCUGAAUCGGUCAAGCAAGUUCGGAGUUUUCUGGGCUUAGCGAGCUAUUGCCGUCGCUUUGUCGAGAACUUCUCCAAAGUUGCCAAACCUCUAACCGAACUCCUCAAGAAAGAUAAGAAGUUCGAAUGGACUCCACAAUGUGAGCACAGCUUUCAGGAACUGAAAAGACGCCUGACCUCUGCUCCCGUACUGGUACCGCCAGACUUCUCCAAGGACUUUGUUAUCUACUGCGACGCCUCGCGACAAGGACUAGGUUGCAUUCUCAUGCAAGAUCGACACGUAAUUGCUUACGCCUCACGGAAAUUGCACCCACAUGAGGAGAAUUAUCCUACUCAUGAUCUAGAGCUUGCAGCCGUAGUCUAUGCACUUAAGACCUGGCGGCAUUACCUCCUCGGUAAUCGUUGCGAAAUAUUCACUGAUCACCAAAGUCUGAAGUACAUUUUCACCCAACCGGAUCUGAAUCUCAGGCAAAGACAUUGGGUUGAAUUGAUCACAGACUUCGACUUAGGAAUAACCUACACCCCAGGGAAAGCCAACGUCAUGGCGGAUGCGCUAAGUCAUAAAUCUUAUUGUAACAACCUGAUGUUACAACAAAGUCAACCGCUUCUCCAUGAGGAAUUUCGGAAGCUUAACCUUCACAUUGUACCUCAAGGUUUUCUUUCCACCUUGGUGGCAAAACCUACUCUUACGGAUCAAAUCAUCGCUGCCCAAAAGCGAGAUAAGGGAAUAUCUAAAAUCAAAGAGAACAUUGCUAGCGGAGGUGCGAGUUGUUUCUCCACAAAUGAUCAUGGUGUUGUGUACUUUGAGAACCGUCUAGUGGUUCCCAAGAACCAGCAUCUACGGCAGUUGAUCCUUAAGGAGGCUCAUGAAUCUCCUCUCACUAUUCAUCCCGGUAGUACUAAGAUGUAUCAGGACCUACGCCAGAGGUUCUGGUGGACUAGGAUGAAGAGAGAAAUUGCUCAGUAUAUUGCUAAUUGCGACGUCUGUCGUCGUGUAAAAGCAGAGCAUCAACGGCCUGCUGGCACCCUUCAACCCUUAGCUAUUCCUGAAUGGAAAUGGGAUAAAAUUGGUAUGGAUUUCAUUACCGGUUUUCCCAGGACCAAGAGAGGGAAUAAUGCUAUUUUCGUCGUUGUCGAUCGUCUCUCCAAAGUAGCCCAUUUCUUACCUGUUCGUGAGAGUAUAACCGCUAGCCAGCUGGCAGACUUAUACAUCUCCCGAAUAGUGUCUCUCCAUGGUGUUCCUUUGGAAAUUAACUCGGAUCGAGGAAGUCUUUUCACCUCUCGAUUUUGGGAAAGUUUCCAAAAUGCUAUGGGAACCCGUCUCUCCUUUAGCACCGCCUUCCACCCUCAGUCGAGUGGUCAAGUGGAACGCGUCAACUAGAUUCUAGAAGACAUGCUUCGAGCCUCUGUUAUCUCAUUCGGAAUGGACUGGGAGAAGUGCCUUCCAUUUGCCGAAUUCGCUUACAACAACAGCUAUCAAUCUAGCUUAGGUAAAGCCCCUUUUGAAGUUCUCUAUGGACGACGGUGUCGAACACCCCUUAACUGGUCAGAGACCGGGGAAAGACAAUUCUUUGGCCCGGAUAUGAUUCAGGAAGCAGAAGAACAAGUUCGUAUCGUUCGUGAAAAGUUGAAAACAGCCCAAUCUCGUCAAAAGAGUCAAUAUGACCGAAAACAUAAGGCUAUGACUUUCGAGGUUGACGAGAAGGCUUAUCUUCGGGUCACCCCUCUGAAGGGAACCCAUCGUUUCGGUAUCAAAGGCAAAUUGGCUCCUCGUUACAUUGGACCUUUUCGCAUUCUCGCCAAACGAGGAGAAGUCGCCUACCAGUUGGAACUACCUCCGCACCUCUCCAGAGUCCACGAUGUCUUCCACGUUUCUCAACUCAGGCAUUGCUUCUCGGAUCCUGUCCGUGGAGUGGACCACGAAACGCUUGAUCUCCAAGAUAAUCUUACAUAUCGAGAGUACCCCAUUCGUAUCCUCGAUCAGGCCGAACGUACCACCCGACGUCAUAAUAUCAAGUUUCUCAAAGUUCAAUGGUCGCACCAUUCUGAGGAUGAAGCAACUUGGGAAAGGGAGGAUCGUCUUCGACUUGAGUAUCCCGCCUUCUUUCCGGAGGAACCCAAAUCUCGGGACGAGAUUCUUUUGAGUGGGGGUGAGUUGUCACACCCUAGCUAGUCAUGCAUCAGAGUGUGUGCAUCAUGUUUAAAUUUCCAUUUAAUUUGAAAUGGGGAUUUGUGAAACCCUCAGAAUCAUUUUUGAAAAUGAUCCAAAUAAAAAUUUCUCCAAAAAGGUCCAAGAAAAUGCUCAUGUUGCUCUUUGAAAAUAUUGGACAGAGAUAAAAAUCAAACCAAUAUUUUUAAGAGCUCAUAGGUAUUUAUUUUGGGCAUUUGGAAUUAAUGCAUAAAUAUUUGCAUUGGAAAUAUAUUAGUUAUAUAUAUUAAUAUAUGUCCAAAUAUUAUGCCAUUUAUAAAGGAGCUCUGGAAUAAUAUAUCUAGCCCCUGCAAAAAUUGGCAUAAGGUAAAUAAAUGAUUUAAUAUUUUAUUUAAAUCAAAACAAAUGUCAGAAAUUAUAAAAACAGAAAACAGAAAAAAGGGAAAACUUACCUGGCGCCACCACAGGCCCACCAGCCAGCCCACCUGGCCGGCCCAGCCCGGCCACCGCUCCAGCGAGCUGCUUGGCUUGCCAGGCAGGCAGCCAAGGUGCUCGGCGGCGGCACCGCAGCUCGCCACGCAGCUGCACGUCGCCCUGCUUCCCCCUCUCGCCGCCCUGCAGGCCUGGACGAGCUCCACGUCGCGCCCCGACCCCUCUGGACACCUCCAUUCGCCCCCAGUUCCUCUCCCUCGCGCUCCCACGCCAUGGCCGACGCCACCGUCGCUGCACCGCCGCCGUAGCCGUGCUCCCCGUCGUCUCCACGCCGCGCCACCGUGCCCAGAAGCUCCGCCGUCCUCUACUUCUUCGAGCUAGCCGAGCCCCGAGCGCUCGCGUGCCUCGAAGCCGCCGCACCAACCUCGCCCGAACCGCCAUCACCGGAGAUCCCCUUCGCCGUCGCCGCCGCAGCAGCUCGUCCCCGACCACGCCGUCCUUUCCAUCAAGACCGCAGUGAGCUGGGCUAACUUCCCCUUCCUCUCUUUCUCUCUCUCGUGCACCACAGCGAGCACACUAAGCUCACCCGCACGCGCCGUCGCGGACCUCUUCGCCGACGUGCUCCCGGCCAUCCUCCGGCCACCUCACCUUGUCCAUCGCACUCACCACGCCACGUUGGGGCUAACCAUGCACUCCCCGCACCUCACCGCACACUCUAGCCACGAGUUCGUCUUCAACCGAACUCCGGCGGCCGCCAAAGUCGCCGCCGGCGCCAACUCCGGCCACCCCGAGCCCAACCACCACCACCAAUAGUCGCGGCUCAACCUCAGCAACACGUAGAUGCCUUCCGCCGUCCAUUUGGUUGCCGGAAUGGCAAAAAGCACUUUCGUCGCCGCGUCGGGCUCGCCGGCGGCUAGACGCCGGCGUGUUUGACUCUGACUUUGACCACGGGUGGGCCCCGGUUGACCCCCUAGGUCUAUGACAUGUGGGGCCCCCUUUGUUAAUUAAUCCAGUUAGUUUAAAUCUAAUUUAGUUAAACUAAUUGAAUACUGACAUGCGGGACCCACUGGUCAGUUUGACCUGGACCAGCCCGUUGACCACUGACGUCAUCAUGACGUAGUGCUGACGCAGUAAUUUAAUUACUGGAAUUAUUUUUACACAGGAAAUUCCAGAAAAUGUUUCAAACUUCCAAAAUUCAUAUAAAAUCAACCGUAGCUCCAAAUCAAACAAGUUAUAUAUGAAAAAUGAUCAGAAAAAUCCAAUCUUUCCAUCUGUACCGGUUUCAUGCAUGUUUAAACAAGCUAACCUGCUGUUUAUCACAGAACAAGAUAAAACACCUUAAAUGGCAACUUAUGAGUUUGAACUUUGAAUCAAUGGUUCAAAUUAGUUCAAACCCAUCUGUUCUUAGUUGCAUUAGCCCAAUACACUCAUUUUGCCAUGUCUCAUGCAUGCAUCAUAUUGUUGCAUACUGUUUGGUAAUGUUUGUGUAUCAGUGCUCUCUGCGGCAGGUUCUGCCCCCGAGGAGUACCGUGAUAACCCCGACGAAGAGCAAUACCAGUGCACCGACCCGUCAGGCAAGCAACCAACCAUUUGAUCAUAUCAAUACAAUCCCAUGUUCUCGCUCCUGCUCUCUUUUACUGCAUUAAGAUAACGCGUUUCAAACUGCUGUGUGCUACGGUAGUUGAACCCAUUUCCUCUGCAUGACCUGUCAUUGCCACAGUAACUAGAUGAAACCCACUAGCAUGUGUAGGAGUUGAUUGAGCCAUAUGUAUGCGUUGUUCCUACCUUGCUAUGCCUGCUAUGCUUAGAGUCGUGUCAGGUCUGGUUCAUCUGGGUGAUGGCUAGAGUGAAAUGAUUAUGUCGGUAAUGAGAGUGGUGUGGUGAACACGAUUUGGUAAAGGUAUCGAUGAGAGGCCAUGUAGGAGUACAUGGUGGGUUGUUUCAUUGAAGCCGACCUUAAGCACUGAGAUCUGUAUGUGUGAUUUAAGAUACAGCUACUACCAUGCAUUGGGCCCUGAAAUAUGACCCCGCUCGACUUCUUAUUCACCCUAGCUCUCUGUCCAGGAGUUGCAAGUAGUUUCUGGUGUUUGUAGCCUACUGGAGGCCGUGGACAGCGCUGACCGUAGGGGUGGGCUGUGAUGCGGUAGGUACGUGGCCGGGUGUACCGAAUACCCGUUAGGUAUCUCGGGAACCCUGUUCACAUCGUUCGGGGCCGUAUGGGAAACCUCGGCCGGACUCCCUGCGGAUGGAACCUGAAUAGGCGAUAAACCUGGACUAGAGGCUUAAGUGUUUAGGUAGGUCGUGGUCUACACCCACGUCGGCUUUCGCUUGAAGUCUGCCGAGCACAUAUCGUGUGCAGACGCUAAGUGGUGGAAACAUGUAUGAAGAAGUACACCCCUGCAGGGUUAUCAUGAUCUGUUCGAAUAGCCGCGUCCGCGGUAAAGGACUACUUGGUUGCCUAUACAGUUCAUAGACAAGUAAAUGGAAACUACUAAAAGCCUCAAGAUAAGUGUGAGUGCCGAGGAUAGCUCUUCCGUAGGAAGACGGAGGUGGAUCCUCGGUAGUGUAUUGAAGUGGUGAGUAGUGGACUCGUGUGCGAAAAACCAUUUCAAGUUGGAGUAUCAUAGGAUAGUCUAGCCAAGAGUCAAAGCUGGCUUGCUGCAAUAACUCCACCAACCCUUCUUGAUAAUAUGCAUGUAUGUAGGAUCUGAUGUAAGUCUUGCUAAGUACCUUUGUACUCAUGUUGCUAUAAUCUACAUUUUUACAGAAGACACUGCAACCCCUUCUGAUGGGUUCUAUGUAGACGUUGACAUCAACGAGUAGGCUAAAGACCCAGGUGGUGAUCCUGAGCUUGUGAAGGACCAUGUAGUAUAGCUAGGCUUUCCAAGCCUCUGUUAUUUUACUAGUUGUCUGUACUCAGACAAGUUACUUCCGCUGCUGGUUUGUAUGACUGUAUGACUUGAAUGCUGGGUCGUGUGACCCGUAUCUUUGUGUAUGCUAUGUAUGGCUCCCUGAGCCUUAAAUAAAGUACUUGUGUCGUAGAGUCAUGUUGUGAUGCUUCGUUGUAUUUGCACAUAUCGAGCAUAUUGUGUGUAUGAUUGAAAUGCUUGGUAUGUGUGGGAUCUGACUAUCUAGUUGUUUAUCUUUAGUAGCCUCUCUUACCGGGAAAUGUCUCCUAGUGUUACCGCUGAGCCAUGGUAGCUUGCUACUGCUCUGGAACACUUAGGCUGGCCGGCAUGUGUCCUUCUUCGUUCCUGUGUCUGUCCCUUCGGGGAAAUGUCACGCAUUGAGUACCGGAGUCCUGUUAGCCCGCUACAGCCCGGUUUACCGGAGUCCUGCUAGCCCAGUGCUACAGCCCGAACCCACUUGCUGAUGACCGACACGUUCGAAGCUGGGUCAUGGAUGCCUGUCCGUGUAAGUCUGUGCCACUUUGGGUUUACGACUAGUCAUGUCAGCCCGGGCUCCUUAUCAUAUGGAUGCUAGCGACACUAUCAUAUACGUGAGCCAAAAGGCGCAAACGGUCCCGGGCAAAGGUAAGGCUACACCCGUGGGGAUACCGUGCGUGAGGCCGCAAAGUGAUAUGAGGUGUUACCGGCUAGAUCAAUGUGACAUCGAGUCGGGGUCCUGACAAAUCGGGCUAUCAAAAGGGAUGGCUGUGAUUUGAGGAUUGCAUGUAUUCAUAGAUUGCUGUGCUCCGAUGCUUUGUGAAAGGAUUAAAUUAAUUACCCUUAUUUUCCAUUAGGAUCCCCCUGAAACAGGGGGUAAGACAAAAGAUGGUGUGCAAGUUAUUAUUGCAAGCGCAUACAACUACAUAUGGAAUACAUGCAUGCCUACAUAUGAUUGAUGAAUUGGAGUCAAGCUUAUUGUCACCUUGUGCAGCUAUUAGAUGGUUGCUUCCAUCCAUGCAAUGUCCACUAUCCACUCCCAUGUCUACGCUUUCCAUAAUCGUUGUUCUCUUUAUGUUAUGUUUGUUCUUUGCAACUGCUAGGACCUAGUAUUUUGUUGUUAUUAGACGAUACCUCGCGCAUUGCUGUGGGAACGCAUGCUAAAUACUAAGAUCCGUAAAUGAAGCAUAAGGUGGCCUCUUGGCGGGGUGUGGUGUCAGGACCCCGAUUCCAAGUCACAUCGAUCUAGCCGGUAACACCUCAUAUCACAUUGCGGCCUCACGCACGGUAUCCCACGGGUGUCGCCUUACCAUGGCCCGGGACCGUUUGCGCCUUUUGGCUCACGUAUAUGAUAGUGUUGCUAGCAUCCAUAUGAUAGAGAACCCUGGCCGACAUGGCUAGUCGUGAACCCAAAGCGGCACAGACCUAUGGAGACAGGCAUACGUGAAACACAUCGAGCAUGUCGGUCAACAGCGAGUGAAUCCGGGCUGUAGCACUGGGCUAACAGGACUCCGGGGAACCCGGGCUGUAGCAGGCUAGGCAGGACUCCGGAUGUCACCGCGUGACAUUUCCCUGAAGGGACAGACAUAGGAACGAAGUGAAACACAUGCCGGCCAGUCAAGUGUCCUGAGGAGUAGUGCUGGGCUAGCAGGACUCCGGUGAACCGGGCUGUAGCGGACUACUAUGGCUCGAGGAACACUAGACUACAUUUCGCCAUAAGAAAGGCUGCCAAGGAUAAACAACUAGAUUGUCGGAUCCCACUCAUACCAAGCAUUUCAAUCAUACACACAAUAUGCUCGAUAUGAGUACAUACAACAUGGCAUCACAACAAAACUCUACAACUCAAGUACUUUAUUUAGAGGCUCCAGAGAGCCAUACAUAACAUGUUCAUACAGAUAGGGGUCACAUGACCCGACACUCAAGUCAUACAAUCAUACAAGCACAAGCGGAAGUAAAUAGUCUGAGUACAGACACUAGAAAGCAAGAAGGCUUCUCGAAGCCUGUCUAUCUACAUAGGGCCCUCCAUGGCCAGGAUCACCACCUGGGUGGCUAGUCACUCGUCGACGUCAAGGUCUACGUAGAACCCAUGGGAGGGGGCGGUGUUGUCGUCUGAAAACAGUAAUUAAGCAAACAUGAGUACAAAGGUACUCAGCAAGUCUUACAAUAGAACCUACUAUACAUGCUCAUUCUCAAGAAGGUGGUGGGGUUAUUGCAGCAAGCUAGUUUUGACUCUUGGCUAAACCUAUCCUACGGAACUCCACUAGUAAAAUAGUUUUCGCACAUGAGUACACUACUCUCCAACACAAUACUCCACCCGGAUCCUCUCUCGUCAUCCUACGAGAGGGCCAUCCUCGGUACUCACACUUAUCUUGAGUCUUUUAGUAGUAACCAUUAACUUGUCUAUGAACUGUAUAGGCAACCAAGUAGUCCUUUACCGCGGACAUGGCUAUUCGAAUAGUUUUAUACCCUGCAGGGGUGUACUUGUUCAUACACGCUUUCACCACUUACCGCCGUUUACACGACAUGUACUCGGCAACCUUCAAGCGGAGGCCCAACGAGGGUGUCGGCCACGGCCUACCUAAACACUCAAGUCUCUAGUCCAGGUUCAUCGCCUAUCCAGGUUCCAUCCGCAGGGAGUCCAGCCGAGGUUUCCACAUACGGCCUCGAACGAUGUGAACAGGGUUCCCGAGACACCAAAUGGGUGACUCGGUACACCGUGCCACGGUGUAUCUACCGCAACAUAGCCCACCACUAGGGUCAGCGCUAUGCACGGCCGUCAACACAUAACCUACAAACACCAGAAACUAUUUACAACUCCUGGACAGAGUACUAGGGUGAUUAAGAAGCCGAGAGGGUCCAUUGGUUUCGGGCCCAACGUAUGGUAGUAACUGCAUCUUAAAUCACACAUACAGAUCUCAGUUCUUAUGGACGGUCUCAAUGAAACAACCCACCAUGUACUCCAACAUGGCCUCUCAUCGAUACCUCUACCAAAUCGUGUUCAUCACAUCCCUAACAUUACCGAUAUAACCAUUUCACUCUAGCCCAUCACCCAUAUGGACCAGACCUGACACAACUCUAAGCAUAGCAGGCAUAGCAAGGUAGGAAACACAUACAUGGCUCAAUCAACUCCUACACAUGCUAGUGGGUUUCAUCUAGUUACUGUGGCAAUGACAGGUCAUGCAGAGGAAAAGGGUUCAACUACCGUAGCACACAACAGUUUGAAUCGCUUUGUCUUAAUGCAGUAAACAAGAGCAGAAGCGAGAACAUGGGUUUGUAUCGGAAUGAUCAAUGGUUGCUUGCCUGUUGUAGUGGUAGUAGGGUACUGCCCUUCAGACGAAUACUCGGGGUUAUCCUCGGAGGCAGAACCUACCACGAAAAUCACACCGACAUAAUCAACACAUGGCAAUAUGCAACAAUAUGAUGCAUGCUAUGACAUGGCAAGAUGAAAGUGUCUUGUCCUAAUGCAAGCUAAAACAGAAGGGGAUGAACUUAUUUGAAUCAAAGAUUCAAAUGUUAGCUCAUUAAACAUGGCCUUAUUAGUGCAUUACCUUAUUCUUCUUAAACAGCAAGGUUAACUUGUUUUGUCAUGCAUGAAACCAUUACAGAUGGAUAGAUUGAUUCUUUCUGAUCAUUUUUCAUAUAUAUAAAUCUUUGCAUUUGGAGUUAUGGUUGAUUUUCUAUGAUUUUUAGAAGUUUUGGAUAUUUUCUGGAUUUUCCUAUUAAAGAAUAAGUCCAGUAAUUGAAUUAAUGCGUCAGCAUGACAUAGGUGUGACGUCAGCAGGUCAACUGGGUCGGCCAGGUCAAACCUGACUGGUGGGCCCUGUCUAUCAGUGUCACAACUAAUUAACAGAAUUAUGUUAGUGUUAAUUGACUGUCAGUGGGGCCUGGGCCCACAUGUCAGUGACGAAACUAAUUAAAAUUAGUUAAAACUAAUCUUAAAAUGAUUAGCAGAUUGGCCCCACCUGUCAUAGACUCAGGUUGCGUCUACCUGGGCCCACACGGGGGUUAAACAGGGUCAACUCGCUGGCGGCUUGACGCCGGCGACGACAGACAUGGCGGAGGGGCUCGGGUUUGCGUCCCCGGCGACCAAAUCGGCAGCGGAGAGCAGCUACGUGACUUGGGGAGCGAGCCGCGUCGUUUGGUGGAGAAAGUGGAGCUCGGGGAGGCCGGGAACGAUGCCGGCGACGACCUUGGCGGCCACCGGAGUUCGGGCGAGGCUGAACCCGAAGCUACGGGGCAUGGCGAGGCGCAGGGAGUGGUGCAUUAGGCUCCUGGGAACGUGGUGACGCGCUCGGAAUUGAGCUUACGUGCCUGUGGCCACGGCGACGACAUGGCCGGCGGAGCCGAGUUCUCGGCCGUGAUGGCCAACGGGGUUAGAGGGCAGCUCGAGUGUCGUGGCUAGGGGGAGGAGAGAGAGAAGCUCACGGUGAGUGCAGCGGGCGUCAAAGCGGGCUCGGGGAAGCUUGGGAGGUGGCAAAACAUCAAAGACGAUCUCCGGUGACCGACGAGGGGAACGGCAGCAGUGGCAGCGUUGCAGCGCAUCCGAGGACUCGUGGCUCGUCGAGGAGGUCGAGGGAGAUGUUGCAGAGCUCGUGGGCACGGUGGGGCGACACGGGGCGACGGUGGUUGCGGCUACGGCGGCAAGACAACGGCGGCUGCGUCGGCAAGAAGAUGGGAAGAGAGCCAGAGAGGGGGAGAGGCCACGGGGAGAGUGGGAAGAAAGAGAGGGAGACGUGGGGGUCGGCGUGGCACUCAUAGACGCCUCCAGGGCAUCGGCGGAAGCAGGAGGUGGCCGUCGUGUGGCCGCGGGCGCCGGCCACGCGCUCCUCGUCCUCCUGGCAAGAGGAGGAGGAUGACUGGCAAGAGCCAGUCGACUGGGCCGAGCCAGGUGGGCUGGUGGGCUGCACCUGGUAAGUUUCUCUCUCUCUCUCCCCUUUUUUUCUAUUUUUCUUAUUUAUUUAUUAUUUCUAUAACUUUAGGGCUUUAUUAAAAAUACCAGGGCAUUACCAUAAAUCAUAAAAUUAAUCAUGGCCACUGCUUAGAAUAUAUCCAACAGCAAACAUUUUAGUUUAUGAUUAUUUGAGCAUUUAAAAUAUUUUAUAGCAUUUAAAUGCCCAAAUGCAAAUACCAUAAGGAUUAAUCCAAUGACCUUUGAUGUCCUAGAAAAAUGUGCACCAUUUUUGUCAAAGGUUUUAACCCAAAACAAAAAGGGUGAGCUUUUUAGAAGGGCAUUUCAGGUUCAAUGGUAAAGUUUUUAGUAAACCCUAGUUGUUCCAGGGGGUGUUGGGGGUUCUGUCAUCCCCAUUUCAAAUUUAAAAGGAAUUUAAACAUGAUGCACACUCUAAUGCUUGAACUAACUAGGGUGUGACAACUCACCCCCACUCAAAAGAAUCUCAUCCCGAGAUUUAGGAUCCUCUGGAAAGAAGGUGGGGUACUCGAGUCGAAGACGAUCCUCCCUUUCCCAAGUGGCUUCUUUCUCGGAAUGGUGUGACCAUUGAACCUUGAGAAACUUGAUAUUAUGACGUCGAGUGGUACGCUCGGCUUGAUCAAGGAUACGAACGGGAUAUUCCUGAUAUGAGAGGUUAUCUUGUAGAUCAAGCGUUUCGUGGUCCACUCCAUGGAUAGGAUCCGCGAAGCAACGCCUGAGUUGAGAAAUGUGGAAGACAUCAUGAACUCUGGAAAGAUGCGAAGGUAGUUCCAAUUGGUAGGCAACUUCUCCUCGUUUGGCAAGAAUGCGAAAGGGUCCGAUGUAACGAGGAGCCAAAUUGCCUUUGAUACCGAAACGAUGGGUUCCUUUUAACGAAGUAACCCGAAGGUAAGCCUUCUCGCCAACUUCAUAAGUCAUGAGUUUAUGUCUACGAUCAUAUUGGCUCUUUUGACGAGAUUGGGCUGUUUUCAAUUUCUCACAAAUAACGCGAACCUGUUCUUCUGCUUCCUGAAUCAUAUCCGGGCCAAAGAGUUGUCUUUCCCCGGUUUCUGACCAGUUAAGAGGCGUUCAACAUUUUCGUCCAUAGAGAACUUCGAAAGGAGCCUUGCCCAAGCUAGCUUGAUAACUAUUGUUGUAAGCAAACUCCGCGAAUGGAAGGCAUUUCUCCCAACCCAUCCCGAACGAGAUGAUAGAGGCUCGGAGCAUAUCUUCCAGAAUUUGAUUGACUCGUUCUACUUGACCACUUGAUUGAGGGUGGAAGGCGGUGCUAAAAGAGAGACGAGUUCCCAUAGCAUUUUGGAAACUUUCCCAAAAUCGAGAGGUGAAAAGACUCCCACAGUCUGAGUUAAUUUCCAAUGGAACACCAUGAAGAGACACUAUUCGGGAGAUGUACAAGUCAGCUAGCUGGCCAGCGGUGAUACUCUCACAAACAGGUAGGAAAUGGGCUACCUUGGAAAGACGGUCAAUCACGACGAAGAUGGCAUUAUUCCCUCUCUUGGUCCUGGGAAACCCAGUGAUGAAAUCCAUACUAAUUUUAUCCCAUUUCCACUCGGGAAUAGCCAAAAGUUGAAGGGUGCCAGCAGGCCGUUGAUUCUCUGCUUUAACACGACGACAAAUGUCGCAAUUAGCAAUGUAUUGAGCGAUUUAUCUCUUCAUCCUAGUCCACCAAAACCUCUGGCAUAGGUCUAGAUACAUUUUAGUACUGCCGGGAUGAAUGGUGAGAGGGGAUUCAUGAGCUUCCUUAAGGAUUAGCCGCCUCAGGUUUCAUGCCUUGGGAACCACUAAGUGGUUUCCAAAGUAUACGACACCUUGAUCAUCAACGGAGAAACAAUUCGCGACUCCUUUCUUAAUGUUUCUCUUAAUACGGGAGAUUCCCGGAUCUACCUUCUAUGCCUUGAUGAUCUUAUCCGUAAGGGUAGGUUUCGCCACAAGGGUGGAUUGGAAUCCUCGAGGAACAAUGUGAAGAUACGAAAUUCCUCAUGGAGAAGUGGUUGACUUUGUUGUAACAUCAGGUUGUUACAAUAGGAUUUACGACUUAGCGCAUCAGCCAUGACAUUGGCCUUGCCCGGGGUGUAAGUUAUUCCUAAGUCGUAAUCCGAGAUCAACUCGACCCAACGUCUUUGCCUGAGAUUCAAAUCUGGUUGGGUGAAGAUAUAUUUCAAACUUUGGUGAUCGGUGAAGAUCUCGCAGCGAUUACCGAGGUAAUGUCGCCAAGUUUUAAGUUCAUGGACUACAGCUGCAAGCUCUAGAUCAUGUGUGGGAUAGUUUUCCUCAUGUGGGUGUAAUUGCCGUGAAGCAUAGGCAAUUACCUGAUGAUCCUGCAUGAGUAUGCAACCUAGUCCUUGUCGCGAGGCGUCGCAAUAGAUAACAAAGUCCUUGGAGAAAUCUGGUGGUACUAGUACGGGAGCAGAUGUCAGGUGUCUUUUCAGUUCUUGAAAGCUGAACUCGCACUGUGGAGUCAACUCGAACUUUUUAUCUUUCUUGAGGAGUUCAGUUAGAGGUUUAGCAACCUUGGAGAAAUUCUCGACGAAGCGGCGGCAAUAGCUCGCUAAGCCAAGGAAGCUCCGAACUUGCUUGACCGUCUCAGGUGGAGUCCAAUCAAGGACAGCUUGAACUCGCUCGGGAUUGACAACAAUACCCUUACCAGAGAUUACAUGGCCUAGAUAGGUCACUUCUGGCAACCAAAAUUCACACUUGGAGAAUUUGGCAUAAAAGCGAUGCUCUUGAAGUUUCAUCAAUACCGGCCUUAGAUGUUCGGCAUGUUCCUCUUCAUUCUUGGAGUAGAUGCGUAUGCCAUCGAGGUAUACUACGACAAAUUUAUCCAAGUACUCCAUGAAGACCGAGUUCAUUAACCGGGAGAAGGUGGCUGGGGCAUUGGUUAAACCGAAGGACAUAACGGUAUAUUUGUAUUGGCCAUAACGAGUAACAAAGGCCGUUUUGGGAAUGUCCCCGUUUCUGAUUUUGAUUUGAUGGUAGCCCAACCUCAAAUACAUCUUGGAAAAGACUGAGGAUCCAGCAAGCUGAUCAUACAGAUCGUUGAUCCUGGGAAGAGGAUACUUGUUCUUGAUGGUGACCAGGUUGACAGUUCGGUAAUCUACAACCAUUCGAUCCGUUCCAUCCUUCUUCUUGACGAAGAGGACGGGGCAAGCCCAAGGAGAGGAACUAGGAUGGAUGAAACCAUUUUUCAAGGACUCAUCGAGUUGGUUCUUAAGCUCGGCUAGUUCUAAGGGUGCCAUCUUGUAGGGUCUUCUAGAAAUUGGAACGGUUCCUGGAACAAGGUCUAUCGCAAACUCGACAUCCCUGUCAGGUGGAACACCUGGCAGUUCUUCUGGAAAGACAUCCGGAAAGUCUCGAACUACCGGAACAUCUUCAAGGUCUGGAAGGGGGUUGGCAUUUAGGGAGUAAAGUUGGCGCUUGGCCACUCGAGUUAAGACAUUGACUGUCUUGCCCGAUGAAUGAGUAAGUUGAACGGUUCUAGUGGCACAAUCAAUCUUCGCAUAAUGAGAUGACAUCCAGUCCAUACCCAAGAUGAUGUUUAUGUCCGGGGACUUGAGAGCUAUUAAGGAUGCAAGGAAGACAGGUCUAUCAACAAGAAUUUCGUUUCCAUGGCUUACUCUAGAAGUUUGCCAUUUGGAACCCGGAGUUUGAAUUAGCAUGGAAGUGGGCAUGUCACAGAAUGUCGUGUUAUGCAAUCGAGCAUAGUUCUCGGAUAUGAAUGAAUGAGAUGCUCCAGUAUCGAAAAGAAUAGAUGCCGGAUGGCAGUUAACAAGGAGCGUACCAAGGACGACGUUAGGAUCCUCAUGAGCCUCCUCAGCUGAAACAUAGUUGACAUGGCCACGUGUAGUAGUGAUCGGCUUGGCGUAGAAUGUCUUUCCCGCGGGCUUACCACGGCCAACAGACUUUCCAGUUUGAUUGGGGUUGUUGUUCUGGGGACACUCUCGGCUAUAGUGAGCCGGUUCUCCACACUUGAAGCAUGUCACCACAUUGGAACGGGGAGCAGCGUUAGCAGCGGGGCCACCAUAGGGCUUGGGCGGUGCAAACUGCUGGUUGGGACGAGGCGCCUCAAAGGAUGGCCUCGGGAUGAACCUGGGUGGCAGUGCCAUGCUUGGGAUCCACACCCGGCGCUUCUGAGCUCCAGAGCCGGAUGAAGAGCCAAAAUCACGUGAGUGCUUGCGUGAAGCGUCAUAAUCAGUCUGGCAUGUCUCAGCGCUGAUGGCUUUAUUGACCAACUUCUGAAAAGAGGUGCACUCGUGCAGACGAAGAUCACGGUGAAGCUCAGGGCUAAGUCCCUUGCGGAACCUUGCCUGCUUCUUAGCAUCGGUAGAUACUUCUUCAGGAGCAUAACGUGCCAGAUUCCCAAACUCACGGCUAUAUGCAUCCACAGCCAGUCUUCCUUGGGUGAAUUGCAGAACUCCUCCCUCUUGCGAUCCAUGAGACCUUCCGGAAUGUGAUGCUCAUGGAAAGCUUCACUGAAUUCAGCCCAAGUAGUGAUUUGGCCGACCGGGCGCAUAGCUUCAAAAAUUUCCCACCAGAGGCUAGCAGGGCCUUCGAGGUGAUAGGCAGCAUAAGUAACCUUGUCGGCUUUGGCUACGUUGGCAGAACGUAGCUUGUGGGUGAUGCUGCGAAGCCAGUCAUCCGCGUCGAGGGGCUCGACGGAAUGGUUAAACUUUGGUGGGUACAGCUUGAUAAAGUCAUUGAUUGACACCAAGUCAUUUUGCUGAUGGCGUGCAGUGUUCUGCUCAAUCCGCUCUAGCAGGCAGUUAGUCUCACGCUUGUUUCUUUCCGCCUCCAGCAUCACUUCGGCCAGAGAGGGCGGGUGAGGCAGAUUUUCACCCCUAGGUGCACUGGCUUCCCCCUGUUCCGGGGCAGCAGGGUUGCUGCGGGUGUUGACCAUCCUAGGAGAAAACAAGACAACGAUUUAAAUAAGGAUGGCUCAAACUUAGCAAGGAAGUGCAGAAUGUAAUGGAUAACACGGAAUGCAGAGAUGUUCAUCCGUAUGUCAUCGUAAUAUAAAACUGCCAUAUAUAUACCAACGGUCAUACACAUCAUACAUAGGUUAGUACAAGCCCAGGCUAUAGUACAACUAUGAUGAAAGACAUUACAUCUCAUCGGAGGCAUUCCAAGCUCCUAUACAUUAUUUGUCUACACCUCUGGAAUUGAUUACACACAAAGUCAUAUUCCACAAGUCACGCAGGACAGUGGAGAUACAACUAUUACAAUACUAGUGACACUACUAGUAACUCAGACAGCUCCAUAGUAGUCCUCAUAGAAGUCACCUCCAUAGCCCGGAAGUUCAACGUGAUCAUCCGGGAACAGACGAUCCUGAGGAGCUUGUGGACCAAAGGGGCUAGGAUGAGGUCUUGGACCAACAAACGGUGGCCUGCGGGGACCAUGGGGUGGGGUGAUGCCUCCCACAUCACGCCAAUCCACCAUGUCUGGCAGAGCAGAUCUCACAGGAUACAGAUCCCUUGUAUCCAUACAUCCAGCUUGCACCGCAGGUGCAAACCGAGUCAAUGUGGCCCAAUGAUCAGCACGGGUAUUGAAAAGCUCCAGCCUCAAGGCCCGAUUCUCUCGGUCCUUAGCUUCGAGCAUCUCGACAGUGGUACGAGUUAAUGAGUCCUCCUGAGUGGAGUCAACAUAGAUAGCCUAAAGAUACCCUUGCGCUCCCGGAAGUGAAGCUGGCAUGUAAUGGAAGUCGGUAUUCCGAAGCAGGCCAGUCCGGACUCGCAUGAUGGUCAUCAUGGAAUAGGCAGCAUCCUGCACAGCCAUAUCAACAGUAACCCCGAGUCCAUAGGAAUAGUGAAGGGGCUCGGUAGAUCCAGGAUAAGAAGGAAAUAUCCUGACGGUGCAGAAAUAUUGGCUUUGAUUAAAGUCUCGGAAUUGCUCUUCGACGGUGUAUUCGGGAUACCAACGGUAACCCGUCUCGAUCAUUACCCAGACUAACAUAGCAGUAUGACCGGGCACAUCGAGGCACCGGGUCAGGCGAACCACUUGGUUUUGAACACGGUUGGCCAUCUGAAAGCACAACCACAAUGCAAAGACAUUAGAAUUUCUAGGGAAAAUUGGACAGCAUAACAGCUGUAAAAGCUCAGAAAAAGAUUUGAGACAUCCACAACAGUUUGCAAUACCACUCAACAACAUCAUAUCUAGGUUCUGAUUCAAUUAGCAACAUACUAAAAAUAGUAGAAACUGUAUUGAGGCUUGUAACAACAAUCCUAUAAGCUACUACGGAUUAGUAACACGUGAACCUGAUAGAAGAAGAGAGCCUAGUCCUUAACCCACGUUGAAUGAGAAGAGAAUGACUCAAAUCAGAGGACAUAAGGUAAAGGAGUAAAAGAGCCUUAUGUUCCCUUCCACAAUCAAUUCCCCUACAUAUAACUAAAGCAUUUCUAGACUCGACAUCGACCAGUUUGGCUCAACGAACCUACAGGCAGUCCGGCUCUGAUACCAACGCUGUCAGGACCCCGAUUCCAAGUCACAUCGAUCUAGCCGGUAACACCUCAUAUCACAUUGCGGCCUCACGCACGGUAUCCCACCGGUGUCGCCUUACCAUGGCCCGGGACCGUUUGCGCCUUUUGGCUCAUGUAUAUGAUAGUGUCGCUAGCAUCCAUAUGACAGAGAACCCGGGCCGACAUGGCUAGUCGUGAACCCAAAGCGGCACAGACCUAUGGAGACAGGCAUACGUGAAACACAUCAAGCAUGUCGGUCAACAGCGAGUGAAUCUGGGCUGUAGCACUGGGCUAACAAGACACCGGGGAACCCAGGCUGUAGCAGGCUAGGCAGGACUCUAGAUGUCACCGCGUGACAAUUCCCCGAAGGGACAGACAUAGGAACAAAGUGAAACACAUGCCGGCCAGUCAAGUGUCCUGAGCAAUAGUGCUGGGCUAGCAGGACUCCGGUGAACCGGGCUGUAGCGGACUACUAUGGCUCGAGGAACACUAGACUACAUUUCCCCAUAAGAAAGGCUGCCAAGGAUAAACAACUAGAUUGUCGGAUCCCACUCAUACCAAGCAUUUCAAUCAUACACACAAUAUGCCCGAUAUGAGUACAUACAACAUGGCAUCACAACAAAACUCUACAACUCAAGUACUUUAUUUAAAGGCUCCAGAGAGCCAUACAUAACAUGUUCAUACAAAUAGGGGUCACAUGACCCGACACUCAAGUCAUACAAUCAUACAAGCACAAGCGGAAGUAAAUAGUCUGAGUACAGACACUAGAAAGCAAGAAGGCUUCUCGAAGCCUGUCUAUCUACCUAGGGCCCUCCAUGGCCAGGAUCACCACCUGGGUGGCUAGUCACUCGUCGAUGUCAAGGUCUACGUAGAACCCAUCGGAGGGGGCGGUGUUGUCGUCUGAAAAUAGUAAUUAAGCAAACAUGAGUACAAAGGUACUCAGCAAGUCUUACAACAGAACCUACUAUACAUGCUCAUUCUCAAGAAGGUGGUGGGGUUAUUGCAGCAAGCCAGCUUUGACUCUUGGCUAAACUAUCCUAUGGAACUCCACUAGUAAAAUAGUUUUCGCACACGAGUCCACUACUCUCCAACACAAUACUCCACCGCGGAUCCUCUCUCGUCAUCCUACGAGAGGGACAUCCUCGGCACUCACACUUAUCUUGAGUCUUUUAGUAGUAACCAUUAACUUGUCUAUGAACUGUAUAGGCAACCAAGUAGUCCUUUACCGCGGACGCGGCUAUUCAAAUAGUUUUAUACCCUGCAGGGGUGUACUUCUUCAUACACGCUUUCACCACUUACCGCCGUUUACACGACAUGUACUCGGCAACCUUCAAGCGGAGGCCCAACGAGGGUGUCGGCCACGGCCUACCUAAACACUCAAGUCUCUAGUCCAGGUUCAUCUCCUAUCCAGGUUCCAUCCGCAGGGAGUCCAGCCGAGGUUUCCACAUACGACCCCGAACGAUGUGAACAGGGUUCCCGAGACACCAAAUGGGUGACUUGGUACACCGUGCCACGGUGUAUCUAACGCAACAUAGCCCACCCCUAGGGUCAGUGCUACGCACGGCCGCCAACACAUAACCUACAAACACCAGAAACUAUUUGCAACUCCUGGACAGAGUACUAGGGUGAUUAAGAAGCCGAGAGGGUCCAUUGGUUUCGGGCCCAACGUAUGGUAGUAACUGCAUCUUAAAUCACACAUACAGAUCUCAGUUCUUAUGGACGACCUCAAUGAAACAACCCACCAUGUACUCCUGCAUGGCCUCUCAUCAAUACCUUUACCAAAUCAUGUUCAUCACAUCCCUCACAUUACCGAUAUAACCAUUUCACUCUAGCCCAUCACCCAGAUGGACCAGACCUGACUUAACUCUAAGCAUAGCAGGCAUAGCAAGGUAGGAAACACAUACAUGGCUCAAUCAACUCCUACACAUGCUAGUGGGUUUCAUCUAGUUACUGUGGCAAUGACAGGUCAUGCAGAGGAAAAGGGUUCAACUACCGUAGCACAUAGCAGUUUGAAUCGCUUUGUCUUAAUGCAGUAAACAAGAGCAGAAGCGAGAACAUGGGUUUGUAUCGGAAUGAUCAAUGGUUGCUUGCCUAUUGUAGUGGUAGUAGGGUACUGCCCUUCAGACGGAUACUUGGGGUUAUCCUCGGAGGCAGAACCUACCACGAAAAUCACACCGACAUAAUCAACACAUGGCAAUAUGCAACAAUAUGAUGCAUGCUAUGACAUGGCAAGAUGAAAGUGUCUUGGCCUAAUGCAAGCUAAAACAGAAGGGGAUGAACUCAUUUGAAUCAAAGAUUCAAAUGUUAGCUCAUUAAACAUGGCCUUAUUAGUGCAUUACCUUAUUUUGCUUAAACAGCAAGGUUAACUUGGUUUGUCAUGCAUGAAACCAUUACAGAUGGAUAGAUUGAAUUUUUCUGAUCAUUUUUCAUAUAUAAAUCUUUGAAUUUGGAGUUAUGGUUGAUUUUCUAUGAUUUUUAGAAGUUUUGGAUAUUUUCUGGAUUUUCCUAUUAAAUAAUAAAUCCAGUAAUUGAAUUAAUGCGUCAGCAUGACAUAGGUGUGAUGUCAGUGGGUCAACUGGGUUGGCCAGGUCAAACCUGACUGGUGGGCCCUGUCUGUCACAACUAAUUAACAGAAUUAUGUUAGUGCUAAUUGACUGUCAAUGGGGCCUGGGUCCACAUGUCAGUGACGAAACUAAUUAAAAUUAGUUAAAACUAAUCUUAAACUGAUUAGCAGACCGGCCCCACCUGUCAUAGACUUAGGGGGGAUCUACCUGGGCCCACAUGGGGGUCAAACAGGGUCAACUCGCCGGCGUCUUGACGCCGGUGGCUUGACGCCGGCGACGACAAACGCGGCGGAGGGGCUCGGGUUUGCAUCUCCGGUGACCAAAUCAACAGCGGAGAGCAGCUACGUGACGUGGGGAGUGAGCCGCAUCCUUUGGUGGAGAAAGUGGAGCUCGGGGAGGCCGGGAACGAUGCCGGCGACGACCUUGGCGGUCGCCGGAGUUCGGGCGAGGCUGAACUUGAAGCUACGGGGCACGGCGAGGCGCGGGGAGUGGUGCGUUAGGCUCCUGGGAACAUGGUGAGUGUGGUGACGCGCUCGGAAUCGAGCUUACGCGCCUGUGGCCACGGGGUUAGAGGGCAACUCGAGCGUCGUGGCUAUGGGGAGGAGAGAGAGAAGCUCAUGGUGAGUGCAGCGGGCGUCGAAGCGGGCUCAUGGAAGCUUGGGAGGUGGCAAAACGUCAAAGACGAUCUCCGGUGACCGACGAGGGGAACGGCAGCGGUGGCGGCAUUGCAGCGUGUCCGAGGCCUCGUGGCUCAUCGAGGAGGUCGAGGGAGAUGUUGCGGAGCUCGUGGGCACGGUGGGGUGACACGGGGACGACAGUGGCUACGGCUACGGCGGCAAGACGAUGGCGGCUGCGUCGGCAGGAAGAUGGGGAGAGAGCCAGAGAGCGGGAGAGGCCACGGGGAGAGUGGGAAGAAAGAGAGGGAGACGUGGGGGUCGGCGUGGCACUCGUAGACGCCUCCAGGGCGUCGGCGGAAGCAGGAGGUGGCCGGCGUGUGGCCGCGGGCGCUGGCCACGCGCUCCUCGUCCUCCUGGCGAGAGGAGGAGGAUGACUGGCAAGAGCCAGUUGACUGGGCCGAGCCAGGUGGGCUGGUGGGCUGCGCCUGGUAAGUUUCUCUCUCUCUCUCUCUCUCUCCUUUUUUCUGUUUUUAUUAUUUAUUUAUUAUUUCUGUAACUUCAGGGCUUUAUUAAAAAUACCAGGGCAUUACCAUAAAUCAUAAAAUUAAUCAUGGCCACUGCUUAGAAUAUAUCCAACAUCAAACAUUUUAGUUUAUGAUUAUUUGAGCAUUUAAAAUAAUUUAUAGCAUUUAAAUGCCCAAAUGCAAAUACCAUAAGGAUUAAUCCAAUGACCUUUGAUGUCCUAGAAAAAUGUGCACCAUUUUUGUCAAAGGUUUUAACGCAAAACAAAAAGGGUGGGCUUUUUAGAAGGGCAUUUCAGGUUCAUUGGUAAAGUUUUUAGUAAACCCUAGUUGUUCCAGGGGGGUGCUGGGGGUUCUGUCAUCCCCAUUUCAAAUUUAAAAGGAAUUUAAACAUGAUGCACACUCUAAUGCUUGAACUAACUAGGGUGUGACAUGUGGGCGGGUGGCCGUGCUGGCCUCCAACGCCCAAGACGCGACCUCGAUCACAUCCAACCACAUAUGCUCACUACAAGGCCCGGAUUUGAACACGACAAUUUACACUUGUUGGAACUUAUGGAAAGAAUGCAACAGAACACAACAAUUUACACUUGUUGUUACUUAUGAAAAGAACGCAACAGGACUUUCGAGCAUGUUUCUGUUCAUCCAAAAGGUGUUCUUCACCUCAUCAAGAAAGAUAGAUCUUCCGACCACUACAAUGCACUGGAUCUCCGACUGUGAGAACUUCAGAGCUGGACUAAUAAGGUCUGAGCAUGACCAUGUACUGAUCUUACUGUAACAGCACAACUUUGUAAUUUUCUCCUCUUAAUAAAUGGGCAGAUCACUGCCAAUUCUUCAAAAUAAAAAUAAAAAGGACUUCUCAUCUUUCGUAACAAAAUCUAUAAGAACCAUGCGACAUGGUUGCUGUAGGCCUGGCAUACCACAUCAAACAAUUGAGCCGUAGCAGCGUCCAGUAACUAGCACAUCAUCAUGCUAUCAAAAUUAAUUAGCUGGUGCUCAAGGGUAAUAACAACACGAGAACGUACACUACUAAUCAAUAGAUACUCCCUCCAUCCCAUAAUAUAAGAACGUUUUUUAUACUAGUGUAGUGUUAAAAAAGGUUCUUAUAUGAUGGGACAGAGGGAAUACAGAAAUAGCUAACAUUUUUGCAUACAUGGCAUCCAUACAGAAGUAGCCGGGACAUCUCACAUGACACAAUUUAAAUUAGUUUCACAAGACAUGACUUCAGGGUCCAAGAUAAUCUCGCAUAACAACUAGCUCAUGACACUACAGAUAGCUGAAUAAGUUAAUAGACCACAGGAAAGACUGAUAAAUUUCUUACAACAAGUUGGGCCUGGCUUCAAUAAUUUCAAGAAUAGAAACUGAGCUGAGCUGAGCUCCGCUUCUCUCCCCACCGUAUGCGCCGCGGGCCACUCCGGCCAUGGCGGCCACCCACCCACCCCGCCUUUACUCUGGCUUCGACUGCCAGCCUAGGGGCUAUGCCGGCCCGCUCCCCUGCGAGUGCCCCGUCCUCACCCGCCGAGAGCCUCGGGUGGAGUACACCCGAAAAGGUGGAGAUCCAGGGUGAGUCCAGCUGUCCGUCAGAGGUACCGGCGACUCCUCUGUCCCCGUCGACGCGGGAUCCCCGAGCCCAAGCUGCCGCCCACACGGAUCUGGGGCGGAGGUCGAGGUGGCGGGCUUCGGACCGGUGGAUGGCGGCACGGCACCACCAAAUGAGCGCCCCCGCCUCAAAUCCAUCGUGGUAAGUGAUAACCCCCUCCCAUCUCCGGCCACCGACGCCAUUGAAGAAGGAUGGGAAAUCUAGAAAUCCCGCAAGAACCGCCGCGCCAGACAGGAUCCAUUUAGUGCUAGGGAGAAAUCAAGGCGUCGGCCUUCUCGCCAAGGUUACAGCCAUGGGCACUCGGCGGGCAGAGAGGCCUUUUCAAGCAGAUUCAAGGGCCUCUGCUUCCGCUGCCUUAACCCUCGCCACCGCCCCGUAGACUGUAGGGAUCCACUGCGCUACAUCAUCUGCAAACGCCCGGGCCAUUUCUGCCGAGAGUGCGCCGACAACCCACGCAACAAGGGGCGGGGCUCGGCCGCUGUUCUGCCGUGCUCCCCGCGCCGGCCGAUCUGCGAGCGCCUGACCUUUCCUCCCCCGCCUAGCUCCAGCACGCGGUCGUGGUCACCGCGGUGGGCACCAAGGUGCACAUGGCGAGCCCGCUCUCCAUUGGCCGCGCGCUUGAGCGCGAGCUCAAGAUCCCUCCGUACCUGCUUCGCGUCACCAACCACGACCCUGAGGACUUCUUCGUCUACUUCACUCUGCCGGCACACAAGGACCUGGCGGUGCGGCGCGGUUCGCUGUCGGUGGACGGCGUGCCGUUCCUGCUCGAGCCAUGGAGGGAGGACGCCCAUGCUGUCCGGCUCAAGUGGAUGCUGCACGUGCGCGUGGUCAUCGAGAAGCUUCCCAUGCAGCUUUGGAUGAUGGAGGGCACGGAGGAGGCCAUCGGUGACAAGGUCAUCGUCGACCGCCUCGACAGCCGGACCCACGAGCGCGUCGACACCAAGCUUUUCGCCUGCUGGGUCUGGUGCUGGGACACUGCCCACAUCCCCAUGAAGCGUACGAUCUGGAAGCAUGCCUGGGGCGCUGGCCGCGUCGAUGAGAUGGUGGGCUACUCUCCUCCGAGCCGCGCCGUGGCACCACCGCCAGAGCUGCUGCAAUAUGACUUGCUCAUUCACCUAGAUCGCGUGGAGGACUGGACUCUGCUCUCGCCGCGUUCAUCCUACUCACCGCAGAGCGGCAUCCCCUCCGACGACGACGAGCCUGACGAGCGCCCCUACCCACGGAUCGAGCCAGGCUUCUGGGCCGAGCGGGUGGAGGAUGGUAGGCCGGCGCUUGCCCUGGCGCUAUCCAUGCGCCCCCAACCCCGGUGGCAUCCACGGGCUGCCGGGGCAUGCCGGCCACUGAUGGUCGGUGCGAUGACGACGGCGGAGACCCUGGGUACGAGAGGAGGAGCUGGAAGGACGCGCUGCUUGGCAGGGGGCGUGCCAGCGACAGAGGCGGGGCCCCAGCCCCGGCGCCACCUGCAGAGCGGCGGCGCAGCCGCACCCCAGCCUCGCGCCACCGCCAGGGUGCACCGUGGGGCCGGCACCUCUGCAUCGACAAGUAGGCCGCGAUCGAGCCGACCAAGAGGAAGGACGUGAUGGCUGGGCCCUCCCGCCAGCUAGAUGGGGGGGGGGGGAAGAGCCAGGCCCGGUGCAAGUCCGGCGGCUCGACGGUGGCUGAGUCGUCGGGCGGCCCCUCUCUGCUCGCCCCACCGCGCAGGCUCACUCAGGAGCAAGGGCAUGGUGCAGGCCAUGCUGGGGGGCAGGGCGCGGCAGAGGACCCGGUGGAGGAGUUCUUCCAGGGAUCAAAAAACAACCUCCUCCCACAACCUCGGCCACGCCCUGACGCCGUGGCCACGAAGAUCGAUGAGGUGAUCGCCGCCAAGCUCGACAAGCCGCUGCGCUUCGAUGAUGAAAAAGAUGGUGGCAGUGACGGAUUGCUGGACAGGGGGCCUGCCCUAUCCCUGGCCCGUCACACCCCGUUCGUUGCGAGCACGAAUGAAGUGCAGCUGGGCGAGGUCACACAGAGGGUCACUGAGAUGCAGCUCCAAGGGGGAGGAGUCGAGGGCGAGCAGCAGCUGCCCCUCUUCUCCAAGCCGGCGCCAGCGAUCAUCGGAAAGCCACCGGCAAGAGACAGGACGCCCCUCAAGGCUAGGCCGCAGGCCAAGCCAGUCAGGCAGAGCGCACGCCAAGGUGCCAACCCCUCCCAGGUGCCGGUCUCUCAGAGGGCGAUGCUCCGGCUGGUGCAGGGCCUCGGCAUCCUCGGGCCAAAGGAGAAGAUGACGGCGCAGGCUGCAGAAGCCCUGAUCCGCUGUUUCGACGAUCCCCUAUCUGACGACGACAUCGCUGCCAUCGUGAAGCUCACCAGCCUCGACGCCAACGCGCUCAAGGCGAUCGCCGGCAUGCCUAGCCAGCAUGGAAGCGCCGCACUGCCCCGUUCCCCAUGUUAGAAAACCUUAGUGUAGUUGUCGGCCGACGACGACCAGCAGUGUGCUGGGUAGAGUUAGGUUUGUUGUCAAGCAUGAAGUGUUGUAGCAGUAGCCAGGCUAGGAGGCUUGUUGUUCGCCGGCGGGGUUUUGGGCCUAUUGGUGGCCGCUGGCGACCCCUGGAUGCAAGGAUGGUGUCAUUGUGUUCUAAUUUAUCAGUAGAUGUUAGUUGUCGGCAUCUCAUCGUGCAUCGCCCAGUUUUCAUCCAUUAUAGCUCGAGCGCUGCUAGGUUUCCCCAUGGAUGACACGAACAUGCCGAUCAUGAGCUGGAACGUGAGAGGUCUCAACACGCCGGCGGGACGCUCGGUCAUCAGAGACACUGCACACGCCCACAAGCUGGCAAUCCUCUGCAUCCAGGAAACCAAAAUUGACUGCUGGUCCACUAGCUUAGCAAGAAAAAUAGGUGGCACAUGGCUUGACCAAUGCAUUGUUCUUCCAGCCAUUGGAACGAGGGGAGGGGCGGCCAUUUUUUGGAAGUCUAGCAUGCUGUCUGUGCAGUCUCACUCGAUAGGGCAGUUCUCUAUCACAGCCGGGGUGCAAACAGGCUAGUUAGGCAAAGAUUUUUGGUUAACUACGGUCUACGGGCCUUCGGAUGAGGAUAGAAAAGAUGAUUUUCUCGAGGAAUUGACUAGAGUUUCUCCCCCACCUGGACAAGCUUGGCUCAUCAACUGCGAUUUCAACAUUAUAUACGAGGCUAGAUACAACAAUAACAGCAACAUCAACCAUAGGAUCAUGGGUAAAUUUAGAGCGGCAAUCGACGCGGGUGGCCUCCAUGAGAUCAAAUGCAAAAACCGCCGCUUCACCUAGAGCAAUGAGUGUAGGAACCCUACAUUAGUUAGUAUCGAUAAGUUUUUCUGCAACAUUGCUUGGGAGGGGUUUUUCCCAUCCUUUCUCCUGCAUGCAGCAUCAACAUCGUGUUCGGACCACUGCCCCUUGCUUCUCGCAGCUGCUGCAGCCCCACGCCGCCCAGCAACAUUCAAGUUUGAAUCGUUCUAGCCCCGGUUCCCGCGCUUCCAGGAGACGGUCCAACAUGCCUGGAACCGCCCAACCUCAUCGCACUGCGCUUUUGCAAGGCUAAGAGAGAAAAUUAGUAGGGUUGCUAAGGAUCUAAAGAUUUGGAGCAAAUCUCAGUUUGGGGGGGCAAAGAUCCAGAUGCACAUUGCAAAUGAAGUGAUCCUACGCCUCGAUGUAGCGCAAGAAACUAGAGCACUGUCCGAUGCAGAGUUUCAUCUUAGAAAAAUGCUCAAGCUCAAGAUCUUAGGACUGGCGGCCAUUGGUCGUGCAAGGAAACGCCAAGCCUCCAGAAUUACGUGGCUGCGAGCUGGGGACGCGCCAACUGCUUUCUUCCAGGCAAAGAUCAAUGCUAGGAGAUGGAAAGGUUUUAUACACUCACUGCAUGGACCGUUUGGUGUGGCUAUUAAGCAGGAGGAGAAAGAAAACUCGAUCUAUGAUCAUCUCUCCUCCAUACUGGGCAUGACAGCACACCACAACACCACCAUUGGCUGGCGCUCUCUCGCCAUUCCCAGGCUGCAAGGAGGAGGGCUUGACAACCCUUUCACAGAGGAGGAGGUAUGGCAUGCAAUCAAGGCUUCUUCGGCGGAUCGUGCGCCGGGCCCGGAUGGUUUCUCUGGCCUCUUCUUCAGAUCAUGUUGGGCAACAAUCAAAGAGGAUAUCAUGGCAGCAUUCAAUCAGUUCUACAAUUUAGUAGGUAGAAAUUUUGGAGCUCUAAACACUGCGGUGGUGGCAUUAUUGCCCAAAAAGGACGAAGCACUGACUAUCAAGGACUACCGGCCAAUCAGCCUCAUCCACUCCAUAGCAAAGUUGAUAUCCAAAGUCAUGUCCCUUAGGAUUGCCAACGUGAUCCACACGCUCAUCUCACCAGCACAGUCGGCAUUUCUUCGGACAAAAUGCAUCCACGAUAGCUUCCUGUACGUUCAAAGCUGCAUCAAGGCCCUACAUAGACGGAAAACACCGGCUCUGCUUCUUAAGUUGGACAUAGCCAAGGCCUUUGACAAUGUAUCUUGGGAGUACAUCCUUGAGAUGCUGCAACAACAGGGUUUUAGUGCGCGAUGGAGAGAUUGGAUAUCUUUGCUGCUGUCCUCAUCCUCGUCAUCCUUCCUCCUCAAUGGCGUUCCAGGAAAAAGGAUCCGACACCGGAGAGGCCUUCGACAGGGCGACCCCUUGUCACCUUUCAUCUUCAUCCUAGCGAUAGACACACUGCACCACCUACUUCAGGUCGCCGCUGAGCAACACAUCAUUGCACCACUUCCAGGGCGGGAGCUAAAACUUAGGAUUAGCCUAUACGCCGAUGACAUCGUCAUCUUCACAAAUCCGGUGAGGGAAGAAAUCGAUGCACUCAUGAAAAAUAUGCACGAUUUCGGAGAAGCCUCCGGACUACACAUCAACCCUUCAAAGUCGACGGCUUUACCCAUCAGAUGUGAGAACAUAGACCUAGGGUUUGUGUUGCAAAAUUUCGGAGGGGCAGAGGGGCAAUUCCCGACCACCUAUUUAGGCCUGCUGCUGACACUAGCUAGACUACGACUAGCAAACCUACAAUUCAUCAUAGACAGGAUCAAGGCUCGACUUGUAGGAUGGAAAGGAAAACUCCUGCCAAUAGCCAGUAGGCGAGUAUUGGUUCUAUGUGUCCUCGGUGCUAUGCCCACUUUUGCCCUAACUAUCCUCAAAGUGCCAAAGAAGCUACUCAAGGAGAUCGAUAGAUGCAGGCGUAGAUUUCUUCGGAAGCAAGACGAGGCGAUCACAGGUGGUAGCUGCAAGGUUAACUGGUCGGCGGUGUGCACUCCUACAUCUCAUGGAGGACUAGGGAUCACCGAUCUCGAACGUUUCAGCCGCUCCCUUAGAUUACGAUGGCUAUGGAUAGCCUGGUCUGACCCUGGGCGGCCUUGGGUUGACAUGGAACCACCAUGCAGCAACAGCGACAAGGCACUCUUCGCAGCAGCGACCACGGUCACCAUCGGCGAUGGCGCGAAGGCACUCUUCUGGCACUCCACUUGGUGUGGGCCGUGCACCCUGGCCAGCUCGUUCCCUCUCCUCUACUCGCACUCCAACCAUAAAAACAGGAUGGUGCGCGAGGCUCUCACACAUGAUACUUGGAUAAAAGACCUGCGACACGGAAACCUACAACCUCUGCUGCCAGAUUUUGUCAGGCUGCAUAGAAAGAUCGCCGUAACCGUGCUAACAGAGGGAAGUAGUGAACAGACUAGGUGGAAUCUAGAGGCCAGGGGAAAAUACAUUGCAAGCUCGGCUUACGCUAUGCAAUUCCAGGGCAGAGUACUAGCGGAAUGGCGGAAUUUUAUCUGGGAGGCAAAGGUUCCUGGAUGCAUUAAGAUCUUCGCCUGGCUCCUACUACAAAACCGGCUAUGGACAUGCGACAGGCUACAAAGGCGUGGCUGGCUGAACUACUAUUUUUGCCUGCUGUGCGUCCGCAACCUGGAGACAACUCACCACCUCUUCUGGAGCUGCCCAGUAGCCCGGAAGGUGUGGGAGAAGGUAGCCGCAAGACAGGGGUGUCAGCAGUUACACCCACGGCAACAGGUGUAAGAGGGAAGCGCUAUCGCCAUACUCCAACGGAUGGUGGCAAACACCCGACCAGCACAACAAAAGGCCAGCAAUGCCACCAUGCUGUUAACAUGCUGGGAAAUUUUGCAAGAGAGGAAUAGGUGUGUGUUCAAGGGAAAGAUAGCUUCAACGCAAAACAUCAUCAAGGCCAUCGAGCAUGCCAUCGAGCUUUGGCGCCAAGCGGGAGCAAUUCAUCUAGAGAGCCCCUUUUGGGAUCCACCAUGAAAUUUAGAACAAUAGUUAUUUACGGGGUUUAAAGUGUUGUAACAAAACUGGUCCUAGGACCUGCUCCUCACCCUUUGUAUUUUUCUCCAUUGCUUUCUGCUUAUCAAUGAAAUGCCAAUAUGACGCUGGAUCUUUCAAAAAAACAGGAAAGACUGCAUAUUCUUCUUCCAGCCAGCAAGAACAUAUGACACCUUUGGUUUCUAGAGCAAGGAAGGAAGGAUAUUUCUGAAUGGAGUAGACCAAGACUGCAUAUUCUUCUUCCAGCCAGCAAGAACAUAUGACACCUUUUGUUUCUAGAGCAAGGAAGGAAGGAUAUUUCUAAAUGGAGUAGACCAAGCCACUUCAAUGUUAACCCUGGAGUACAAGCUUGGACCAAAUAAGUAGAGACCAAGCCACUUUAAUCUUGACCCUGCAGCUAGCACCAAUGUCACAUUCUUUCUCUGUUACGCCGCCAUAUUUUUUGGGUUCGAACAUGACAUCACCUGUUGCAACGGGUACUUUCAAGCUACAACCACAUGCAGAGUAGGCUUGUACUAAAACUUGGAAGUUUUGGUUCACAUCUACAGAAACAACACACCUUGACAGAUGAAUGUUGCCAUCUUGAUCCAGCGGCGGAUUAUCUCCAUCUAGAAAAUCAAGCAACACAAAUUCUUCAAGGGAAGAUGCACCUUGGAUAAAAACUUUCCCUGCAAAUUGACUAGGCCAUGACCCAUGAAUAAUUUGCACACUUAGGAUAGUGGCCUCGACC